CACAGCCAACGCUUUUGCAUUACAACCAAUUUCCUUAGGCACUUCAAAAGAGACUUGGGUACCCUCGUUGACAUGGUUGAACCAAGUGGGAAUUUGUCUUCCUACAAGAUCCAUCCAUCCACCUCCUCCUGUCCAUCCCUAUACCAUGUUGAAUAAGAUUUGUGUGAGUAAUACAUACACAACACGCAUAUUUGCGAGGGAGGAGUGUGUGUGUGUGUGGAAGAGAGAGAGAGAGAGAACCUGUAGCGUGCUAUCCUUAAGAAGGUAAUCUGUGACUUUGUUGUGUAUUGGCAUAUCAAUUCCGUGGCCCGAGUUUAACACGCUUUCCACGCCUGGAAACUCAAUGAGUUUGGGGGAACCGAUAUUCACGUAUGUCGACAUGCCUGAAAAAUCUGGCAUUCUUUCUAAUGCAGAGCAGUCGUCCAUCCCCAGGUGCUCCAAACGUUUUGGUAAAUCUGUGAUCUCGACAAGGUUUCUGCAACCAUUCAAGAAUAAUGUAUGAAGCUUGGAGAGGCCACUGAGGCUUGGAAGGCUCCAAAAAUUAUUGUCACCUAGAUAUAAGCUGCAUAAACUAGGUAGACUACUCCCAAUAUCAUUAGGCACUUCCUCUAAAUUGUUGCCCGCCAAACUUAAGCUUGUUAAAGAGCGUAAGCCUCGUAAGGAAGGUAGCGGCAAAAGACACUUCAAGUAACUCAAAGAUAAGCGCUCGAGCUUCCCCAGUCGUACGAUGGAAGGUGGUACUUUUUUUAUGGCCGUCCCAUCUGCAUAAAGAGUGACCAAUGACGUCAUUUUCCCCAAGUGCUCAGACAAACUUCGGAAUCUUGAACAACCAUUGAGAACAAGAGUUUUGACAGAUUUCAACUUGUAGAAACUCCUCGGGAGAGCCUUAAGCGUUUCACAGCCUUCCAAAUUCACCAACACAAGACUCUUGAGAUCUCCGAUGGACUUGUGAACUUCAGCCAACCUCUUACAGUCUUUGAGUAUCAAUUUCUCAAGAUUUGGGAAUUUCGAAAAGUCUGGCGAUUGUGUUAGAUCGUGGGAGUGGCUGAGAUUCAGAAUCUUCAACUUACCAAGCAACUGUUAAGAAAAAUCAAAUUUAAAUUCACAAAGAAGAUACAGAUAGCAUAAAAAUAAUUCCUAAUUUGGUUCAGGUUACGCAUUGUACUUACCCCAGAAUACUCACAAAGAACUUGUUUGAGGCUGCUGUACCGCAUGUCAAUAGCGACUAUGUUUGGUUGACACAGUUCUAUUGGUAUGAACUCCAAUGGGAAUCCAUGCCAGCACAACCAUCUUAGAUUUUUGGAAAGACAUUGGUAUCCCCCAGCGAGCCGAACGUAAUUUAGUUGGAGCAACCUCAGUCUCAUAUUUCUAAAAGCCUCAGUACUGAAACUAGUCUCUUCAAGACUCGGCAAAUUCAAAGCCAGACCUUCAAUUUUUUCAGUUCCCUACUAUCCGAAAAAACAGACUCCAAAUAAGAAAAGGCUUUGCAAGAAAAAAAGUUAGAUUACUAACUUACAUAUGCUUACACGUUUAACAUAAAGUUCAAUUGGGAAAGUACUUACAGAUUUGUCUAUCAAUACAUCAUUUACAUCUUCAGGACGCCACAAUCUACUCCGUUCUCCAGGGAAAUUGGGAUUUUCUGCAUGCACGAUAUCUCUGCCCAUAUCCCGAAGCAAAUCAUGCAUCAUAAUCUUGUUUUUUCUACCAAUAGUUACAAGGCACAGGUCAAGGAGGACCUCGAUUCCUGUUGUUGCAUAAAGGCCACAACCAUCCAAGAUUUGCAUGACAUCGUUCUUGUCCAUUCCAAUAAAAAAACAAGCUAUAUCAAGGAAUAUUCGCCUCUUGUAAUUAUCAUUUAGGCCGUCGUAGCUUAUUUUCAAUUGUGCCUGAAUUUCUCCACGAGGAAUCAUUUUCAAUUCAUCCAAUAUACUUCUCCAGUCAUGUUCACUUCGUUUGAAAAGAGUAGAUCCUAAAACUUCAAGAGCCAGCGGUAGUCCUCCACAGUAAUUGACAACUUCUCUUGCGAGCACAAGAUAUUGACUAGGACAACAACUACUUCUGAAAGCAUGCCAACUUAGGAGCUCAAGAGCUUCUUCUUGAUCCAUUCCUUUCUCCCGAUAUAUCUCAUCAACUUCAAAUUCUUUUAGCACACGUUCGUUUCUAGUUGUGAUGAUGAUUCUACUCCCAGGGCGAAAAGAGUGGCAAUUUCCCACUAAUUCGCGUAGCUGCUUCACAUCGUCUACAUCAUCUACUAUGACAAGUACCUUUAAGAGUCGAAAUCUUUCCCUUACCAAGGCGGUCCCUGCAGCAACACUGCUUACCUCUUUCUUGGUCAUUUGCAAGAUAUCAUAAAGAAGAUGUUUUUGCAAUUUUUCUAGUUUCUUUUCCCUCACUUUUUCAAGGAAACAUUUACCUUCAAACCUUUCACAAAAUUCGUUAUAAAUGGCUUUAGCAAUCGUUGUUUUACCUAUUCCACCCAUGCCCAAAAUUCCAACCACCCGAACAUCAUCUGAAUCUCCGAUGCAUAAAUAAUUACUGAUAUCUUGCACUCGAGAAUCUAGUCCGACUUGAUAGGGCGCUACGUCUAAAUAUGUGUUGUUUAGCUUCCUAUUGACUUCCUCAAUAAUCUUCUUGAUAAACUUUGCUUCAAUCCUGGCAUUAGUCAAGUUGAGAAGCAAAACGAAGAUUGUUAUACAACUACAAGACGAAAUUGAACUAAUACACAAAAUUACUUAUCAUGACUAGAGAUUUAAUCAAGACAAUUUUAUUUAAGGUGUUGUGUUUAAACUUAGCAAACAUCAAUUAAAUUUAAAAAAGAAACACAAACAAACAGAAACGCCUCCCUUCCCUACGCAGCCAUUCACCGGCGGUUCCCUGCUGAGAUUAGUGUAGCCUUAACAGUUUAAGCUUUAUCGUAUGAUUUUAUUAACAGAGGACUAAGAAAAAUAAUACAUGAUAUUGAUAAGCAAAGGUACGUUAAAGCCUUAAUUCAUAAAAGAAGAAACUAGUAAUUACCCGCCCAAGGUGUUUCUGAGAUCCCAGCCAGACAAAUUCGAAGCUUCAGUGAGAGCAGUUCUCCACCUCUCUUCCUUCCACCUCUCUACCUUCUUUUCAUCUAUAUGUUCCAGAAACAAUUGUCCAAAACUGUCAGUCUGUUUCCUGACAUGCGAAGGAUCAACGUCAUAGAAUAUCGGCAAAACUAUUUGCCCCAGCGUUCUUCUACAUUCCAUGAUCUUAACCAGCUCCUCGAGGCACCAGCUGGAGUUCGCAUACCGUAUAGAGAAGACGAUGAUAGAGAUCUUAGAACCUUGGAUUGCUCGCUCAAAUUCGGUUGUUAAUUCUUCUCCCUUUUUUAGUUCUUCUUCGUCAAUAAAAGCGUUGAUUCCGGCCCUUGUCAAUGCUUCAUAAAGGUGGCCCGUGAAGUUUUUACGUGUGUCUUCGCCUCUGAAGCUUAUGAACACAUCGUAGAGCCAACCUUUUGAGAAAGCGGACGAGGACGAGGCUUUAUCGGGGACGGAGAUAUCCAUUUGGCGAAAGACAAGGCCGAGGGAGCAAAAGAGGAAGAUGAGGGCAUCAAAGACGACCGGAAUUGCGAUGGGCGACGUGGUAGGACAUUAACACCAGCACCAUGAUUCACAGCUUCCCCAAGCUCGACCAGUUGUCCAUUGCCUUCAUUUUCUGGCGGAACUAUUUUCUUCUUCUUAUAAUUAAUAAACCCGCCACAAAUAUACACGGUGCAGUUGACUGAAGACUUGAGAGUUGUGGUUCUACACCCCAAAUUCUACGAGGUGCCUUUUGUUUAAUCCAACUUUCAACUUUGGUAGCGAGUGCCAAACGCAUAUUUACAGGGCUCUCACUUUCAAUAUUGUUAAUAUAAAGGAAAAAUAUAUAAUUAUAUACAAUUUGGUAUAAAAUUAUCAAGGUUAUUGAACCUACAAUCUUUAUCUAUUUAUAUACAAUUUGUUAUAAAGCAAUCAAAGUUGUUGAACCUACCGCCUAUGUAUAUUUAUAUACAAUUUGGUAUAAAAUAAACAAAGUAGUUGUGGAAAAUGGCAUCAAGGACGCGUUUCUUUUUCAUUGUGCGUGCUUUUCAUUAUUUGUUUAUUGAGUUCUCUUUUAUUCAUUUGAUCUACCUAGAAGUAGCUUGGCAAUUUCCCUCUUAAACUAUCACAAACCUACCGAAGUCCCACUCCGGCCCCGUUUACCACAUUUCACAUAAUUUUCCAUUGAAAAUGUCUCCAUUCCGGUCGUAGUGUGUUUGUUAUCUUCCAUCGUCAAUUUUAUUUGUUACUUUUUAAGAUGUACGUUUGUUGUCUUUCCUUUCUCAAUGUUACUUAUUACUUGUCAAGAGAAAUGUGGGUAAACAACUAAACAUGCCGGCAGAAAUGAACCUUUUUUUUUUUUUUUUAAAGACAAGCCGGUUGCGAAAUCACGACAGUUCAUCCUUCCGGAGGCCAAGAAGACCCACAGACUUUUCAGCCUCUCUGACUAUCAUUAUGUGAUUCACUAGCAUCAGGAAUUGAAACAAUAAUUUCUUCGCAAGUUUCCAAGAAAUGGAGGGAAAGAAAAAAUGGAGUUCGUCUGAUGUAACAAUAGUUUCCAAGCAAUUGUAUCAGAAAUCUGCAAUUUCCUUAUAGACUACGUGCGUUUCAUCGCGUCACAACUAGAUGUGAAGCACGUUUUCGGUCAUUCUAAUCUUAGAACUAUACAAUAGUUCCUAAAUGUGUAAUCAAACUGUCAAAUGCUUGGUUUGGGAAGGAAGAGAUUACUGAAACAAGUCAUCGAAAGCCGGAGGAGGGUAAAUGUCACCAGUAAUAGGACUCGAACUUGAUUAAAGCUCAUUGAAGAGACAGAUCAUGGCAUCUGCUCCAUGUUUGAUAAUCCCCACACAAGACGGGAAGCAAAACCGGUAAAACCUAAGCAUUGAUUAGUCGAGAUCCACAAAAAUCUGCAACAAGUCCAGAAGGUUGAUCAGAAUAGAAUGAAAACCAAAAGCAUUCAGAGUUGUAGUUUAGAUGGCACCAACUAUUUCAGCACAAUUCGCAAAUGUUUUAUCCAAAAGAGACUAACCUCCAUAUCUGGCAAAGGGUCGUAUGACUUUUUCUCUCUUAUGUUAAACACAGUAAUGCCCGUGAUCCUCUGAACUCCAAGUUUAGUGGCAAUCAGGUUCUGCAUUAGAAAACAGCUACUCUUAAGAAACUUCUCAAAUAGAUGAAAGUAUGAAUGUAUAUUGCUGAAAGAUGACUGGUUACAUUUGGGUUGCGGGGUUUAGAGAGCAUCAUCUCCAUUGUGAUUCUCAUUUACCAAAGAUGUUUAAACUGAAUGUAUAAGGUGCUGGUGAAAUUAUUCUCCGUACCAGAUUGAAAUUUGUGGAACUAAACGCCUCAACCCUCGGCAAAACCUGUGUGUGGAUUUCAAAUUCAUAAAAUAGUUAUAUAAUAAAGAGUGAGAUGCUAAAUAUUUGGAAUUUAAAAGUAUGAAUUCAAAUAUGUAGUCCUUGGUUCCUAAUUUAUCUUUCAUCAAGUAAACUUAUGUAAUCUAACUGAUGGAUCUCAAAGUUCACAGAGUAUACAGGGUCUGUUAAAAUAUUGAGGUCACUAUAUGCAGUCGAAAAUGAAAAAAGGCACCAACGAAGCCUAUAACAAAGGCUUGGACAAGAUAUUACUAUGAUAGCAUCUAAAAUCGUAUAUAGAAGCAGACUUUGGGACAGCAUAAAAUGUUAUAAACUUGGGGCAUGCAUAUCAAAAAAUUGGAAAGCUGAUUUAAAGCAUUACCACUGUUUGAAGACCAUUAAUCACAACAACAUUCUCCUCACGUGAAUCAUCUUGUGAUAAACAAACUCCGAAAGGGCCGAGUUCCUUAUCUGUCUCAUUUGCUAAAUUCAAGUGUAGCUGCACGAAGUUUUUACUUGCUCAGUUCCAAAUCAUUGCAUUAGUCAGUGAGUUCUAUUAACUGAAGAAUGACAAGAGCAAGACGUAAAUAUGGGGAUGAAUUGUGAAGCAUGAAGUUCAACAGUCACUAGAAACCUCUAUUAGUGAAUUUCAUAGACAAUCAAGCUGCAAUAAUCUAAUGAACAAGAUAUAUAUAUAUAUAUAUAUAUAUAUAUAUAUAUAUAUAUAUAUAUAUAUAUAUGACACCAAAAAGAAUGAAAAUUACCAAAAAGGGUCUUUCCAACUUGAUGGCAGAUGGCUCCUCCACAACAUGCAACUCAAUAUCCUUUCGUGUUAUGGGCUGCACAAGAGUAUGUCAAGAAUAUAAGUUUAAUACCACUUUAAGCUCUAGCAUGUUGAACUUACCUCUCAUAAUAUAUCCAAAACUUAACAAUUAGUAAAGCAUUCUAAAGUCCCUGAAUUCCCUGCCGAGUUGAAAUAAAACUAACAAUAUUUUAAAGUUGAAAAAGUAAAAUCAAACCAUAUUUGAACUUCCCACUUUCUGAUUAGAUGGAAUUUUCAGGCGAAAAGCCAGAACAAAUAUAAACACCCUGCACAUCUAAAGUGAAACAAAAAGUAGCGGACAGCAUUCUCGAUAUAAUAUAAUGUGAUGAACACUCACAGUUCCCAUAAUUUGCUGUGUUUGUAGGCGACCAGGUUCGCCCAGAUUAGUUCGCCAUGUUAUCUGAAGUUUACCAAGAAUAUUGCUUCCCUCAACUUUCCCUUGGGUUGAACCAUGUGAUGUUAACUGAAAAAGAUAGUUAUGAAUUCCUCCACCGGAUUCGAUGAGAAUUGGUGGCUUAAAUAUCUCUCUGCCAUUAACAAAACGCAGAAGAAUAUGAAGAAAAGAAGAAAGAGGAAUAUGAAGAAAAGAAAAAUAUUCGACAGAAGAAAAUAAACCAUAUUCUACCUUGUUUGAGAAUUCUUUUCGGAAUGGUGUUCGUCAGAUUUUAGGAUUUUUGCACUCCAAUGCUGAGCGGGCUCAAACUCAACUUGUUCCAUAAAAAGAUUUGACUUUGUAUGGUUUUCGAUGCAAGCUUCUAAAAGCGUGAUUUCCUGUGAUAGAAUGCAUAAAAGGAUUUGACUUCGUAGGAUUUACAACGCAAGCUUCUAAAAGCAUGAUUCCUGUGAUAGAAUGCAUUUAUCACAGGAGGCUAAUUUGUUACAGGUUAUCAACAAUAUCAGAGCAGUUACUUAGGCUGCAGAGAAUAGAAUUAAAAUACAAGAAGAGGAAUGCUGUUUAAUGAAGCACAUACUUUGGCAUCCGUAUAACACAUACGAGACACUACGUCUAAGUUUAAUCCAGUGUGGCAUAUUCAUACAUCGUCAUGUUUCCGGUGAAAAUCAUCAAUAUGUAUCCAAAAGGCCGAACUUACAAACUUACAAUCAAUAUCUAAAUGAACCUCAACGUACCUUUAUAACAAGGACCUGAAAAAUCAAAGUCAAAUUGUUAGUCUUAGUAGGAUUAACGAAAUGCGGUUGUUUCACACAUGUGAAUUGAAAUUUUGAAUUGCACAUGCAAAUUCCACGGCGUGUGCAAGGAAAAUACCUUCGUCCUGACAGAAAGCGGAUUGGAAACAAUGAAUUUGAAGAACUGUGGUAGAUAUUUACGCUCACCAUCACCGUCAUAGUACAAUGCAGUGCAAACCAACCUACAGAGAUUACAAAACCUUAACAUAAACAAACAACAAAAUCAUAAAACACGAGUUUCGAGGACUGAGGAAGAGAGCUUACGUGUGAGCUCCGAGUUCCUUGACAUCAUGUUCAACAAUGAAGUCAUAACGGCCGCCUGCACGUAUGGAUUCAACCGGCGAAUUCGACGUGUCCAACAGCACAAGUCUCUGCCUUUCUGUUUGCAUUUCCGACUGCAAUUAGCAAAAUUAACAGAAGAUUAAAAAUUGCACUGAAUUAAUUCAACAUCGAAUAAUUAGGGAAUAAUGGAAAAUAAAGUCCAAGAAUUUGAGAUGAAAACCUUGAUUAUAAUGUCCUUGACUUCGAAAUUGGAGCUGUUAUUGAUGCUAAUAUAGCUACAAAAUGUCUCCCCUAAGUAUAUUGCUCUACAAAAUCACAACUUUAUUAACAAAUCAAGAAAUUAAAAUGUGGGUAAGGAGAGAGAGAGAGAGAGAGAGAGAGAGACCCGAAGGCUUGGGGGAGGACGAGGAGGCCAGAGAGGCCAAUGGAGUCGGAGGGGUGGUGGAGGAGGAACCGGGUGCGGUAGGUGAGAUCCGAGGAGUCAGAGGAGGCGGAGGAGGAGGGGUUCAAGGAGUCGUGGACGUCGAGGAGGCGGGGGAGUUGCGCGGCUGCCAUUGGGUCGUCGAAAACGUCCUCGCCGACGACGAGAUCGGCGGGGUCGAGAAGGAGGGGAAUGGGGUCCACCUGGGAUGAGGGCUUGCACAGCCUCAUCACCCGGAAGGCCAGGGAGUGGGGUCCACCUUGACCGCUGCUCAUCGCUGUUUCCUCGUCGUCGUCGAUUCGCCGGCGUCCGUCGCGAUUAACCGAAUUUUCGCGCUUCUGAAAUGAGCAACACUUUUUUCAACGGCUUUUGUUGUGUUAACAGUAACUCCUCGUCGUUUUAACUUUAUACCACUUGGGAAACUCCGGUGAAUAAAUAUGAUGGCGGUAAAAUGUAUUUUAACGAGAAACGUAUAUAAAUGUUUUCUUUUCUUUGAUUAAACAGUGGAGGUAUUUGAACUUGAGGCUAAAUUGUUUCAGCAUUGAAAAAUAGAAAUAUCAUUAGAUUAAGAGCUAGUUAAUAAACUCUGUAUAAUAUAUUUAAAAGAAAAUUACGUUUAGAGUAAAAGUUAGUUAAUAGAUGCGUAAGACAUAUUCAAAAUUCACUUUUAAAAUGUCACAACCUGAAAAACGAACUAUCAUUAAAAUAAGCAAUGUUUAUUUAAUACGAGACCAAGUAGUCUGAAAGAUAAAGGGUGGACAUUUAACUCUAAGAUUCACUUUAAGAAAUUGAAUAGUGAAAAUUGUUUCAAAAGUUAGGCUACUUGGUAGGCUGGACUACCGAAGACAAACCCUAGAAUAAGACUAAAAGCUUGUUUUUUUUCCUGUGUGAAAAAAAAAAUAGAGGGAGGAAAGUUUACCCUGUUCAAGGCCAUGACAUACCACAAGCUUCUUUGAUAUUGAAGGAGUAAGAGGGAUUGCCCACCAAUAGAGAAUGCCGACAACGAUAUUCGAACCUAAGUCUUGAUCUAACGAACAAAACGAUCAUUACCAACUCAACCAACCCUCGUUAACAAAGCUAGAAGCUAGAUGAUAAUCGAGCACAUCUAUGGAGUCAUAACUUAAAAUUGUUCAAAGAACUUUAAAGCGAACUUUCACUAGAUUAAAAGUUGGUUAGUAGACACGUAUAACCCACUUCCUAAGGCCAGACAAAAAUAGCUAGAAGGAGUUGAAUCCCGUAGGCUUUUCUUCCUUUCACACGCUCUAGUUUAUUUGUCCCUUAAUUUUCCACGUAACAAAAACCUUUCUACACACCCUAACACCAACUAAUAAGAAAUACACAAAAUUGUAUCAAUUGUCUCGGUGCUAUUAGGAAUGGAAAGGCGUUUGUAUUUUUAACUAACAACUAAAAUUGUAUCAAAUUAUUCAUAUGAUGCUUUAUUAAUUAUGACCAGGAAAAAAGAGAGUAAUAUGUUGAUCUGCUUCAAAAAAUUUACAACAGACAAUACAGAAACCCUACCAACCCACCUGACUUUGACACCCCCCACGCCCGGAAGAAUGGCAAAGUUCAUGCUAUUAGUACUCUACUGUUAAACUACAAAACUAGCAACCUAAAUAAUCAAACGAGCCUUUCAGUCCCGUAGGAACGAAAAUUCACGAGAGGAUUUUGCCGAGGCUACCGUCUCAACGACGUUCCCCAGCGGCAGCUAUUAACAUUUGUACAUGCGUGUCAUAAGUUAUGUUCUCACUACAGGUCAAAUGGAUCCAUCAAGGUGAUCAGGGCAAGAAUUUACAACCUGCAAAAUAGAAACCCUAUAAGAAUGAAAACUUGGCAGCAGAUGCAGAGAUAUGGAGAGCUUUCCGAAGCAUUUUUUAAAACAAGACAAAAAGUUUAACCAGUAUGCACAGCAUAUGACUCAGUCGUCAACUAUCAGCAAUACCACUCUGUCAAUGAUCAGCAAUGGUUUAUGCAUGUGUAAAAGAUUAGGAGCUCACCUAAUAAAUAGUACAGUCAGUUCAGUCAUCUAUACAACUCGAACCCAUGUUCCGCCACACAUAGGACAGCAAUAAGCCCAGCGGCUGAUCCACCAUGUCUCCCGCCCAGUUUGAUUCGGUGGAGUAGUAGCACCUGAGGAAGCAAAAGCUGAAGUCUGCCGCAAACAUCUUAUGCACUGCAUGCACACGAGUAGAAAAUAAGAUUUAAAGAAUCACAAACUAUUAAGAUGGGGAAACAAAAAGCAUGGACUUUUCAUAUCAAACCUUGUACCAAACCCCUUCUAGACCAGUCUUCCAUACGGCAGUAACAACAUCUCUCCGUGAUCCCAUUAUACCAAGAUAUGCCCCCAAACCCACUGAAGUGUUUAGGCCAAAAGCUGCAUCUCUUUCAGACAUCCUGCGCUUCCUUGGCCACAGGCCAUGGGCUCCAUAAUAAACGUCACAACUUUCCAAAGAUCCGGAAUCAGGUGGGUCUGAAGAAUUACAUAGCUUGGGGGUAUCAUCUUGAGGAUCCAUAUCAUCUGAAUCAGACCAAGGCCCACCGUACAUAUUGCGCCUAUGCCACUCUUCGGCUGGAGGGUGGAGUUCUAACUCUCGGAGUAACAGACCAGCAGCAUCUGCACCUCUAGGCCGGGGCAUAUUCUGUAUAGCCAAUCAGUUAAAAAGAUUGUAACUGUGAGAUUUCAGAUUGUAAUUGACAAUAAAAAAUUAACUAAAAUUACUGUUCAGAAUUUUAAACAACCAGUAAACAAGAAAGUUAAUCCUCUGACAGAAUAAAGUUGCAGGCAUUGACUUUAGCAGCAUUAUUAACAAGAGCAGAAUCCGUGCAACUCCCAUCAUCAUGAAUGGUAUUUUAGGAAAUACAACUAUACCUGCAUAUGAGGGCCAAGGGAUGCUUCAACAACCUCCGGAAGUACAGUAUAAUUGCCAUCAAUAUAAUGCAGCCGAACCUGAAUGUUGCUGCUUCCCACCUGAGAAACCGGCAAUGAAUGUGCCAGGCUUGCUGUUCGCCGGCAAAGAUCCAUAAGGAUGAGGAAAAGGACUUUCACCUGCAGGACAGCAACAGAGUGCAUUAUGUCAUUCUACCUUCUGCUUAUCAAUUUUCUUUGAUGAACAGAAUUAUCCAAUUAAUUGAAAUGUCCAAAAAUGAGACAUUAACAUUGAAAAUCCCAAUCACAGUUCACAAAUCAAAUGAUAUAAACCAGAUAUGGACAACUAAGGCAACAUGUAAUAUAUUGUGAGAGAUCUUGGAAGAAGAGAGCAUCGAUUUCUACCUCCUCAAAAGUGUAACCCUGACCAGCAUUUCCAGCACCCAAUCUUGACCUUCCAGCAGGUCCUUCUUCAACUCCUUUUGCUCCAGGUAUCUGACCGGGCCGAGCUACCUGACCCUCUUCCGGUCUGACCAUGGUUGUAGAUGAUUUUGCAGAAACAGAACUGACCUCAUCCGCCUUUCCAGAUGCACCAGGCUGUGGCUUUUGCAUAUUUGCAUCAGUAUUUCUCUGUGCUCCCCCAGAGAAACGGGGUAGCUGAGCUCGCCGAAAGAAAAAACAGAAAAGCAAAAGCUGGCAUAGCCUAUGAAGGAAAUGGCAAUCCCCAAUUAGCCUAACAGCAGGUGUGCCAGGAAAUGUUCCUGUAUUGAUACUUAUUGGCAUGAAGGAUGACGGUCCACUAAUGGGGUUUGGAGCUGAAUUGGAAACUCCAUCAGAGGUGCUACUAAUCUUUGCAAUUGCACCUUGAACCCAAGCUUGCAUCUGGGUGUUUCCUGUUGAUGUUGGUGUUCCACUUUGACCCCCUGAAAAACGUAGCACUACGUUGUCAAAGAAAUGCUGCAUUGCAGACAAUGCAAAAUAAGAAAUAAAUAUAUAAAUAUAAAAUUUGAAUGAUGCCCAAUUCUCCUAACAAAAUAAUCAGCAAACACCUCCUGAGUAAGUCUAACUUCCAAAUGGUUUUGGGAUUUAGAACAACCAUAUUUGGUCAAUCCUGAUGUAAACCAUUAUUUCAAUGAGAUUUUUUUUUUUUUUCAAACUUCCUUUGCAUCUGAAUCCAAUUCUAGAAAAAACAUCUUUGGUUUCCAUAAAGAGUAGAAGAAUGCAUACUGACCCUGACUGGUUGCAGGAGAAGCCGAACUUUGGGUAGGACUAGCCACCAUAUUGCGAUUGCUGCCAGCUCCAGCAUGGCUCGCCAAUGUGCGACAAAAACUUGCAUAGCGCCGCAAGCGAGUGAUGAAAUGUGAAGCUAAAUCAAGAACUGCGUCGACGUAAGCCUGUGUUAUGUGGAUAGAUUAGGCAAGUGAGAUUUGAAGAAAAAUCAUAAACAAACAAUAUCCCAGCACACGUGAGCUGACUGGAGGAAGGUUCAAACAACAAUCUCCAUAUCCAUACUUGGGAUUUAGAAGCCCAAACUAGCGCAUUACUAGUCUUUCUAUUAUUUAUUUCAUAGAAAUGUGGGCAAGGGCAUAACCCACAAUCAUGCACCUAUAUGACUGGAUUCCACAUUGUUGACUAUAUUUAAAAUACAUUUAGCAAAAACCACCAAUUAAAAUGCAAGAAACCACCAAUUGUUUGUCAAACGUGACCAUUUUGCGGCGCAUAACUUUCAAGAAGAGAAAACAUAAGUUUAAGAAGUUUAACAAUCAAAAGAAAACCUGAAUAUGUGGAACUAGUGCUGGUUCAACAGCCAUUGCUUCAGGAUCAAUGCCUGAUAACGUUUCGCCAGACGCCUGCCAUGGCUCUGGUACCAAAGCAGAUGGAUUUAUUAACGCUGAUUCUAUUCCCUUCCCAAGCAUAUCAAGCAACAACCGGGCUUGCAUGUCUAGAACCAUUGCCCUAACUUCUUGUGCAUUUGUACCUUCCAGUAGCCUGCACUUUAUCCUGUCGAGAUUCUGCACCAAAACAGAUAUAAUUUUCUGAGUCAAUCACCAAAAGUAGUCAACACAGAUGUGAAACUGAAGCUGCAACAAUAAGGAUGCGUGAACCACUUAACCCUGUCCUGAAAGGGUGAACCUAAAAAAGGAUAACAUACAUGCCAUGCAACAGCAUGAAACGUUGAUUGAAAACUUGAGUCUUUAGGCCAAAAAGUCAUGCGCAAUGCCUCAGCUUCUAAUUAUAGCCAUUUCCCAUUUUAGUCAGUUUCCCAUGCAAUCUGUCUUAAAAUAUUCUGAAACACCUUUCUUAUGACACGCCAAGAUACUUUUACAGUUACAAUCUCCAUCAUGGGAAACAGGGAGGCCAUCUAGGUGAUCUUUUGCUUGGCAAGUAGAACUGUCAACAUCUCUUACUUGUACUGUCAAUUGGCUUUAACAGCAAAAGUCUUUUUUCUUUUUCUUUUAAAUGUCAGAUAAGAAUUUUCAACACUAACACUACCAGGCCAUUCAUAUAAGAAAAAAAUUAAGGGUCAUGAAUUCAUUUAAAAUUCAGCAUAUAUCAAUACUUGCACAAACAAAAUAUAUUAAAUCAUAUCUUAAAAAUUUUAUCACAAUUCUAGAGCCGCCCACUAGAGUAAUUAUGAACAAAAUAUCUCUGAGAUUGAGUAAUAAAAUGUUAAUGCAUCAAGAUUUAUAACAUUGGAAAAUGCAGCUAAUAAUUUCACUAAAAUGACACCUUUGGUCCUAAUUGUCAUUUACGUACAUGAAAAUCUAUAAGCAUCUUGAAAAAUCUGCGCCAUAGCUAAAAACUUACAGGACCAUACUGUUGUCUGUGCUUAGUAGAAGGAAGAGAAUGAAAAUCUGCAUCCAGUACUGCAAUGACACUGUUCAGAGAAACUGCAACAAACAAAAAACCACAAUCAGAAGGUUGUGCACAUCAUUUAUGAAGAAUUUUUCUAUAAAACACAUUUAUAAAUUAUAAUGGAUUGGAGAACUAUAAUUUGUUUCCUAAAUUUUCAAGAACUACUUUGCUAUUUAUCAGUCACACAACAAUACCACCAAAAAGAAUCCAAAAUUAUUACCAAUGCCGUCCUCGGCAGCACUCUGCGUACAGCCAACAGCAUCCCACCAAUCAACCCCAACCAAAAGACUCCACCAAAACCUGCCAUGAUGACCAUCAAUCUGUCAUAACUUAAACAUCCAUAAAAACUCAUUUCAGGGAUUCAAGGUUUAUCAAGGUGGAAGAAGUACCUUUCGGCAAUGGCCCGUUCCCAGGUUGACGAGUUUGCCUUCACUUGGCUGCUUGGAACAGCAGGAGGAAGAACACGUAUUAUUUUUAAAACUGUACGGUCCUUACCACUAUCAUGCCAAACAGAAGCUGAGCAGCAGCUUGUCGACGAGAAGGCAGGGGUAGCAAUUGCAGAUCCAACAUUAAUCUGGUAGUUAUCAACAGGUGCAAAGUUCGGACCAGAGAAGAUGUGAACCCCACCCCGGAGGAAAGCAACAGCAAUCUCACCACCAUGAGCAGAAUAGACUAUUCGAGCAAGUGUUCUAACAUCACUUGGCAGGUCAAAAGGAUCAAAACUGACUCGUUUUACUUUCUCUAUGCCAGAAUCAGGAGUCUUCCUUGCAUCAGUGGUUGCUGUUGUCGCUGCUGCUUGGUGACUUUUAAAAUCAUUAGUUGGUUGUAUGCUUGUGUCCACUUUGGAUAGCCAAACAGUUUGCAUUGGUGCCUGCCCACCAAAACUGGAUGUAGGAUUUCCAAAUAUUUGGUGAAGAACAACAGGCUGAAGUGAUGAUUCCCAGCGUUGCACUCUCCAUCCUGUAAUUGAUGGACCCUCAUCUGGAUCAUAAGGAGACAUGUAUUGUCCUGCACUCAUGAUUCAAUUCAUGCAACUACUAUGGUUCAGACAUAUUUCUAAGAAAACUUAGUUUCUAAUCAGGAAAAAAAAAAAGGGUUGUCGUUACCUAACAGGCCAGAUAGAAUAAAACUCCAAAUAGUACAACAGAAUCAAAGGUAAGGUAAAGAUACCAACAAAAAAUAAACAGUAAACAGAAGGCAGAAAAGAUGGCAAGGAGGUCCAUUCAAAAGGUCCUGCAAUAAUAAAGCUGAAAAAGUACUUUUUAAAAGGUGAGAAAAUACAUAAGACUACCACUCAACAAGAACACAGAAGUAUGGAAACAAAGAUUGUACGAAAACGAGAAACAAUGACACCUGGUUUAUGUUGUUCAAAAUUACAACUCUAACAAACCAAUUUUCAGAGAAAUUUUUAGGGAAAAAGUACAUCUGGAUUAGAAAAGAUUAACAAAUAAACAAAUAAAUGCAUGCUUCGUUACACCAACAACUUGCAAUUGAAUUCCAAACACAAAGAAUAGAGAAAAAAAAGGUUUUCAAGGAAGAAGACAAUUAGUACCCUCAACUAUGACAACAGCUAUGACAGAACCACCACGGGUUGGAUCAAAGGCAACCGCAGUAACUCCAGAUCCCCAUGUAGUGGUAGUUGCAGAUUGAGAUGCAGACUCGGGACUCACAUAUGCUGAAAAAUUAAACUGGAGAGCAAUGAAGUGGUACAGUAUCACUGAAAUCUGGAUCUGUCUGCUUUCGCCCUUGCUUUGCUUCAGAUAAUAGAUAAUCUUGCCAGCUAAACAAAUAUGCAGCCAAAGGGGAAAAACCUGGCCAAUUGGGUGGAUUCAUUGAAGGUGGGACCCCAUCAGUUGUGCUAAUCUUUGGAGUUGCAUGAAAUCCAUUUCCUAGGCCAGGAGUGACCUCCCAAACAACAACCGUAGAUGGGUUUACAAUUGGAACGCCUGCGACAUGCAUGGCACCACUGUCUGUUAUGAUAGCAUCAGCUGCCAUGAUCCCACUAGGCCCAGCACCCAGAAGUCCCUUGCUUGUUUGAAACCACUUUGGUGCAGCACUAAUCUGAUUAGGAGGAUACUGGGACCAAUGAAGCUGAAUAGAGCCUGAAGAGAAAACAGAACAGACGCACAGAAAACUGGGCCACCUAGCUGAAACAAAUAACAAAAUAUUGCAUCAGAUACCACCGUUCAUACAUUCUAUAAUAAAAAAAGGGGAAUAUAAGGAAACUUGAAAUUAAGAGAGGUUGCAAUGAAGGAAAAAAACCUGAAUUUUGAGACUGCUGUGAAAGAAAUUUUUCUUCAAAAGUUGACUUUGCAUUAGAGGAUGUACUUGAUUUUGAGGAAAGCCACCUAUACUGGUUCAUAAAAAAAAAUCAAAAAAAAUAUUAACUAUCAACAUCAUCUGAAAAAAGGAUACUGCAGUCACACCAGCAGACAUCAAAUGCGAUCUUCAUAUAAACAAUAAGCAAGCUAAAAUGGUACCUUUCAAGGAACAUAAUACAUUCAGAUGGGCAGAACAAGAAGCACAAACAUAUCUUUAAAAACCAAAUGAAUAGCAGACAACAAAAUUGCUUACUGGGGACACUCCUGACAGCCACUUUGUAACAACUGCAAUAUCCUGCUGCCAUUCAUACUCUCGUUGCCAACGGCUGGCAUCGCGUACGAGAUUAGCUGGCCCCUAAACAGAUAGAUCAAAUAUAAACAUUUCAUAAUAUUUAUAAAAUAAAAUAAAAAGGAAAAUUGUCCAAGAUUAUUGCAAUUUAGCUGUUAGUGGAAAAGCCACAUCAAAAGCUUGCAAGGGGAAAAGUUAUCUACAUAAGAAGAAAUCAGUACAACAAGUCUAGCUUACUUGAGAAGGCUGAGUCCAGAUCGUUACUCUCCCAUGGAAAUUGGCAAUUAGUAAGCCACGAGGGCAAGAAGUAGGAGACCAUUCAAUAAACUGAACAGAAUCACGAGGAGAAUCUGCAAAACGUAUUCAAAACUAUCUUGGUUCACAGAAUUAUAACCAACAUUUAGGAAAGCAAAAGCAAAACAUCAAAGGUCUUCCUAAUCUAGCAUCGAAUGAAAAAGACAAGCAAAAACAUAUGCCAACUCUCAGGAGGGAAUUGUCAUCCAAAUGAGAUAGGAUUUGAACACCUAAUGAACUAGCAGGUAAUAACUAUUGACCGCGGAUGAUAAAAAACAACUUCGUAUGCAAGAGAGGAAAAGAAUUUGACAUAUGUAGAUGUUCAUAGCAAAAACAUAUUGGCAUUAAGCAAGUCCAAAGAGAAUUAUAAAGCCUUCAUAGUUAAUUAUCAAGCUAUUCACUGCAUAAGUUGCAGUGAAGAAAACUUAGGCAAAGAAUCUAAAGAACCAAAGGCUCUUAUACAACAACAACAAAGCCUUUUCCCACUAAGUGGGGUCGGCUAUCCAAAGGCUCUUAUAAAAGCAAAUAAAUCAUCUAAGUACCUGCAUUGACAUUGAACACUGCACACUCAGUUGGUCGCUCUGGGAUCACAAUAUGUAUGGGAAUCCAAAAAGGUGCAUUUGCAUUAGAACUACAGAAAAAUCCAUAACAAAAAGAAUUGUCAUAACUGUACACAAAUGUAACUAAUUAAUAGGGAGAAAAUAAAAUAAAAUAUAGGCCAAACUUAAGCAAGCUCAGUGCCCACCAACCAGGCUGCCUAGUUUUUACACUCCAGAGAUUCCUUGAUGAUCCAUUUGGACCCUAUACGAAGGGAGGGAAGAUGUUCUAUUUUUAAAAGUAACUACAAUUCUUAACAUUAUAUAAGGAUUCAUCAGUUUCUUUUCAUAGUGCUUUCUGAGGUCCAACUAAGAAAAAUAAUUGCCAGGUUCCAUAAUCACGCAUAUUAUCACAAACAAGCAAUACUAACCUUGGAAUACUUGCACAAGUUUCUGAUGCACAAGCGAUGGCAUUCAGCUUCCCACACCAUGCAACAGCACUGGAGAAACAACAAAAAGACUACACAUAAAGCCAAAUCUUCUGUACGUAACUUAAAACAUAAAUGUAAGAUGGCCAGGGCAAUUUAGCAGUAUCAUGGUAUUAAGGAAGUAAUAUCUAUUCCAACUACCUUUCCUUUAUACUUCUCAUUUCCAGAGUUCUCGUUACCUUGACCAUCACAAAGCUGAUAACUCAUACACCUCUCAGACUAAGGCAGGAAAUUAGUAUUAAAACUAACGAUUGAAUUACAAAGUGAAGAGAGGAGGUUAGUUCUCCUGAGUUGGAAGAAUGAAGCGGCCAUUAUCCAGUACAAAAAUUCUCAUGUCCACCUUUAUUCACAUCAUAGAAAGUUAUUGAUUGGCAACGGUUCACAGAGCAAUGGCGUAACUAAAUCAAUAAAGACCUAAUAUUUUGGAACCACCCGCCGUAGAAUCCCCCAAUAUCAAUCCUUCUCUCUCCACAAUUCAAAGUCAACAACUUUUCUCUCCUUCCCAUCUCGGUAUACACUACAUAACAACAAUUUCUUGUUUCAUUUCAGAAAAGUUUGAAUUUUUCUCCAUUAACACACAACUACAAAGCUCAAACCAAUACAAAUAUUCUCAUUUUAUUUGUGGUACCGCUUCGAAACCAAAAUCUAAACACAAUUCAAUCAAAUGCCCCCCACCCCCAAUAAAAAGAAGCAUAAUUCAAUGAACAAAACUCUAAACUUAACAGAUUGGAGCUCGAAUUUCAAAAUUUACCUAAAAUUGCGACAAAGCUCGGGGACGCUCAUCUUGUGCUGCAAAUUGGACCUGGGCUGCUUGAGCCUGAUGCAGAAGACGGCGGCAGGGUUGACUGCGUCUUCCUCCAUGGGAUCGUCGGGCUCGUCCACCGGCUCUUCCUCUUCGUCUUCUCCCCCUCCUCCAAUGCUCUCAAUACUCCCCGUUUCGGGCUUGUCGCUCUCAAGGGAAUGAGCCACAGGCUCGUCGUCAGAGUCCUUCACUUGACUCAUUACCCCUAAACCCUAAAAAAUUAUAUAUACAACGAAUCACAAAGCAGAGAGAGAGAAGAAUGUGAGUGGUGGAAAGUUGUAAUUGAAGGCGACAGGUAUCACUGUUUAGAGAGAGAGAGAGAGAGAGCGAGGAGAGAGAGUAGUGGGGUUGGUGUGUAUGUUUGAAAAUGUUGAGAGAGAGAAGAGAGUGGAUUGGAAGAUUGAAUUUUUGUUUUCUGUUUUGGCUUUUGAGGGCAGAGGUUUCAGGCAAUUUUGGUUCAUAUUUUUUUAGGGUUUUUGGGUGGUCGACAAAGGCAUGUGAUUCCAAAACCCAAUUUCCAGGCGUUGGUGGUGUUGGUGGUGUCGGAUUUUUAUUUUAUUUUUUGGGUGUCAACAUCUUGCCUUCUUGGAUUUUUAUUUUGGGAUGUGCUAUCCACACAUCCUAAAUUACUUUCCACACAUCCUUGUUAAUUUCUGUCCGUUAAUCUUCUUCAAUUCAUCCGAUCCGACGGUCAAAAAUUAAAAAGGUGCGUGAGAAGUAAAACGGGGUGUAUGAAUAUCACACCCCUUUAUUUUUUGAGCGUGAGUCGCGUCACUUAUAUGAUCAUACUAACAAAUAAUGAGACUCCUUUUAUUGGAGUGUGACCGGCUUAAGGUCUUGUGGAACACCAACGUACAGACAAAGUAACGAGUCUAUUUUUUCGAAUCACAUCAGUCAUACAAUGACGAACACACAAAUAAUCACGAGUUUGACGGGUAUCUCACACACCGCGUGGCGUCCAAACCAAAGACUUUCUCCAAUUCAUUGGUCCUGUGUGUGGAAUGUGUGACCAAGGGAGGAGCUAUGUAGCCUUUGAACAUUUUGGUAGUACAUAAUUUGAGGCUUGUGACAAUUAGCCCAUGCCAACCAGCUUUCGAUAUUGGGUGGGUGUUAUCAACACACUCAGGGUCCGUUUGUUUGACCGGAUUAGGGAGGACUGGACUGGACUGGACUGUAGUCCCUUGUUUGGUCUGUACCAGGAUUAGGUUUAAUGGGAUUAGGUCUGACUCGCUAGGAUUAAACCCCUCACUGGGAGUUCUAAGCGAAGCACCCCGAUCACCCCCGGACUCGUAAGACCUCUGCGCUCCUGCGCUCCUGCGCUCCUGCGAGAGAGAACCUCGCUCAACCUCGAUCCUCGCCGUGCUCCCUCCUUGCCCUGCUCCCUCAUCGUCGUCCUCCUCAUCCUCAUCUCUGCAUCCUGCUCGCCCUCAUCUGGUAAACUUCAAAUCCGACAUUAUUUCUUCGAUUUUUUUUUGCAGAUCGUGAUAUUACUGGGCUUUAUUUGAUUUAGGUGUUUUGGGUUUGAUAAAUUUUCAAUUAUAAACCUCUGCACUUGAACAAAUUAGGGUUUUGAUUUUUAGGGUCAAAUUGAGAUUAGAAUUUUCAAUCAUAGCUUGCCGUUGCUCUGGGCUUCGAUUGAUGGUUGAUACAUGCUUUUUAAGUUUGUAUAUCUUUUGAUUCUGGUUUUCUAGGGUCUGUAGGUUUUAGAUUUUAAUUUCUUAACCAGUCAAUUGUUGAUUUGGAUUAUAAGUUACAAAACAUUGUUGAGUUAUUGCAAACACAAAUGUAUACACAAACGAUCCUGGCUAUAUUACGCCAACAAUCAGGGGUUUCCCUAUCAUAUGUUGCCAGAGCGUAUUCAAACAAUCUGUUUUGUUUGGCUGUCCAAGUCGAAUUGGAGUGUGGGGAAGAUAGCUUGCUAGGUGCCAUGAUUACUUGUCAUGAUUACUGCUACUUGCAGAUCAAUCCUCUUGGCCUUCUUUCAGGCUUCUCCACUGAGCCCUGUAGUUAUCUUUCAUGCUUGAAAGUAACUGAUAGAAAGUAAAUAUGUAAUAUGUACCAUUGAUGGGAACUAUUUGUGACACUAGACUUCAUAUGGAACACUAUCCAACCUUAUUUGGUUGACAAUCACUGCUUAGUCUUAAAUUGAGCCAGUCAGGUGAGGAGUGGUUUCUUCCUUAUUCUCUCUUCUGGGUUGGCAGUGGCACGAAAUAAGAUUGCUUCUGAUUGCUCAAUAUCUGUUCCAUCUCUUUCCCAAAUGGCAGCUGCUUAGCCUCUCUCUCCAUCUGCUUCAUUAUGUUGUCCUCUUGGCCUGCAUGUUUAACGUACAAGCAGAGUACAAACAAGGGACUUUUAGAAAAGUUAACCCUUUCUUUAGCACAUUAAGGCCUUGUUUAAUUUGAUGGCAUAUUGGAUUGGACCAAAUAAACCACUAAAAAUUCAGUAUAUGUUGAUUCAAAACGCAGCAGUCAACUUUUCGAACCUUGUUCAAGUUGAAAGUUCUGUAUUAAAGUUUCUUACUUGUUCAUAAUUUUACAGUCAACAUUUUUAGAGUGAUGAUGCGUGUGUUUUCCAAAUUGUCUGACUGCUAACUCUGCAUCUUGAAUCCAAGUUUUGACUUGCGUUCUUAUUCCGGCAUUCGGACUUUUAUUUUUCUUAUUGUACAUAGUUUAUUAUUUUAUGUUGAUGUUCAAAUUGCUUGUUUGUGAUUCUAAACAUAGAAUUUAAACUUUAAUUCCCUGAAUCUGGUCAUUUGCUCUUUUUGUUGUCAUUUUAUAACUGAAAAGUAAUAUCAUACAUGCAGAGGCUUGAUUUUUUAUCGGAGAGGAUUCUUUCAUUAGCUUUUGAUGUGAUUUCAUCUCUGUUGAAACAGGGCCUGUAAGUUUUCUGAUUAGUAAGUUUUACUGAAUAAAGAUCACCAAAAUUCUGCCAACUUCAUUCGUUAGGAAGUGGAACUUUGGAUGUUGCUGGAUCACAAUUUGUUACUUGUUCAAUCCACCCUCUUAAUUGGUUUUUUUUUUCUUCUUAAUCGUAAAUCAGGGAUGGAGAAUAGUUUCUCCACAUUUUUCAUCUCUGUUGGACUCUGCAAUCUUUCAAGCAUUGGUAAUGAAUGAAAAGGUAAAUUUCAUUAUCAGAAAAAAAUGGGAAACAUAUAUAUUUUGAAACCUGAAGUUAUAAGUUGAACUAACUCCUGUUUUUCUGGCAAUUUUUCAAGUAGGAUAUCGUAGUGUGGGAAGAAGAUGCAGAUGAGUACAUACGAAAGAAUCUUCCAUCUGACAUAGUAUGGAAAGUUUAUACCACAUUUAGUGUGUGAUAUGUAAGACAUUUUAUAUAGGUAUGAGGUAUUACUACCAGUUGCAUACUAUGUGUGUAAUAUAUGCGGCGUUGUCUUAUGCUUAAGUGCUCUGCCUAAGAUGUAAAAUUGAUGGGGUCUAUUAGAAUUGAACCAUAUUCGCCUUUUGGAUUGCACGCCUGAGAAUUCUUUCUGUCCAUUUUUUUUAUCUUUCAUGUAAAAUACUUGACUUUUAGUGGAAACGAAUGCAUGCUUAUUUAUCAUGAAUGAAUACGUAAGGUAUGAGCCUUGCUCAUAUUUUGACAUAUAAUUAUCAAACACACAAGAAAAUUUUGGAACAAUGCUACUUUGAAUCAUGUAUGUUUCUUUCAUUGGCAAGAAAUUUUGGUUUUUGUAUUUUUAUUGAGUCUCACUCUCAUCCUAUAUUAUUAAUUUUAAUAAUAUCUGUAAUAAAAAAACAAUUAAAAUAGAACAAUAAUGUAGUUCUAGUCUGAGCAAACACCAAACUGGUGAACAAUAUUGUUUUCAUUAUCCUGCUUCUUAGUCCGACACUGCACCAAACGCUUCACUAAGCUAGUCCAGCUUAGUCUAGUCUAAGCCAGUCCAGCUUAGUCCUUGCAGCUAGUCCAGUCCGAGACAGUCCGGUGCAACAAACGCACCCUCAUUUUUACCUUUUAUAUAUCCCUCUUAGUUUCAAUCAUCGUAUCGAAUGAAUUGAAAAAAAAUAAAUAAACAAAAAAUAACAAGAGUGAAUAUAUUGUUUCAACUUUGCCCUUAUCUAGUGCACAAAAGUCAUAUUUAAAAAAAAAUCAAUUUAUGUCACCACACCUUUCAAGUCCAACAAUUUUGCCCACCCCUUUUAAAAUUCUUGGCUCCACCCUUCAUGUGACCUUAUGAGCAAGUCCACCGAGAGCCAUUAGGCCAGCACCUAGCAGCCUUUUGGGCUCGGCACCCAACCAAUUUGCUCCAUCCCAACCUAAUAGGCUGGCAUCCAGCCCAAGCUAGUUCAUAAGGUGACCCAAAAUGUGCUGAGCUAGAGACCAACUUAUAUGACGCCAGGUUGACAUCAUGAUCUGAAAUCUUUUUUUUUAUGCCAAGUCCCAACAGAGGUCCGUCUACAAAAGAUGGCAGAGAAUGAGAUGUUGGGCUCAACUACGACUGUUUGUCCACGACGAUAGCAGACAAUGGGCUACCGCAAUCUCUGCCACCACCUCCGACUCAUCCUCCAACCUGCUAGAAUUUCCAAUCCGAAGGUGGAGAUAACGGCAAAGGUGAAACUGGAACUAAAGGCAUGAGCUGGUGGUGGUAUAAUGGCAAAGAGGAUGGUGGCGGUGGUAAGGGAGGAGAAAGGUUGUUUCAUCAUAGAAAUUAGUGGGGAUUGGCGGCAUGGGUGGUGGGUUGGCGUGCUCUGGUAUGCUUCAUUGGAGGAGCAUUUUUUGGGAGUUCAGAAACUGUAAAGUCAGAAAUUAAUAAUAUUUUAAUAAAAUUGACUAGGCUAUUUAGUUUUAGGGGUGAAGAUGCAUUUAAUCUAUUAUUGUUCAUUGGGGUCUAUCAAUGUUCAUUGAAUGAAUUAAAUAGGCUGGAUGCUAGCGCAUUUUUUUAGGGGUGGACUUGCUAUGAAUAAAAAUUGAUCUCAAAUACACAAACUUAGAAAAGGCAAAAAAAAAUUUAGCGGAUGGUUUUCUUUUAUGGAAACUAAUGAAAAAAGCUUGAAAACUUUGAGUUUUAACAAUAACGACAAAAUAAAGGGUAAAGUGAAUAGUACCAUGUUUGAUUUUUUAGUAUAAAAAUGUGUUUUUUCGUUAAAGUGAAUAGUUUUUCGUUAAAACUCCAUUUCUUUUAAGUGACAAUAAUGAAUGUGUUGUGUAGGUAACCUACAUUUGUUAUUAAGCGAAAUAUUAAAGUGAUUAGUUAAUGUAAAAAUAAAUUUCGAAAAUAAAAAGGUCGCAUCCUACCCACCACGCAUAGAAACUUGAAUAAAAAUAUUUUCUUAAAAAAUUAGGGGGGGGAGAGAGAGAGAGGAGGAGGAGGGAGGGAGGGAGGAGUCGACAGCAAGGGGAAUCUGUCGUAUCUUUCUUGGUCUGACUGGAAAGGAGGAGACAUUGUUGUGCUGGUGAUGUGCUUCUCUGUCUAACACUACAAUUAUAUAUGCUUUAAUGUGAUUGAAUUUGUAUGCACUAAGUUUGUUUAAUCUAGGGCAUUUGAUUUUUAGGAAAUUAGAUAUUAAUCCUUGAAAAUGAUUUAGUUUAGACAAAUACCAUUUGCAAGAUUAACAAUUGAAUUAAGUCCCUGACCAACGUCAGCCGACAUAAUUCCACAUUAGUUGUCAUUUAUUUCUUUGUUAUUUUUCCAAUUAUACCCUUUUGUCAAUGUUUGUAAUGAUGACUUUUUUUUUUUAGUUAACAAUCAUAGGACGUCAUUUAUUAUAGAUUAUUUUUAGGAUGCAUAUGAUAUUUUGUAGUAGUUUGUUUUGUUCUCGUUCAAAUUUCAAACUGAUUUUAGUUCAUAUUCGAGAAAUUAGUAAUUCAUUCUCUAAAAUUAAGAGGGCUAUGUAUAUAGUAUAUUGUAAUGGCAUCACCCUUUUUUUUUUUUUAUCAUGGCGCCUAAGGUACGAAUAUUUAGGUGCAUUUGACUAUAUACUAUGAUUUAGGUGCAUUCAUGUAGGUACUAUGAUUUAGGUUCAUUUAAAUUGAUACUUUGAUUAUAUAUUUAGGUGCAUUCAACUAGAUAUUGUGAUUUAAGUAUAUUGUGGUAGGUACCAUGGUUUAGGUGCAUUUGACUUGGUAUUAUGAUUUACAUGCAUUCGACUUGGUAUUAUGAUUUACGUGCAUUCGAUUAGGUAUUAUGAUUUAAGCACAUUAGGAUAUUGUUUAAAUGCAUUCGAUUAUCUAUAAUAUAUGAUUUGGGGUAUUUUUAUUUCCUCUAUGCUUUGGAUGGUGAUAAUGAAUAAUUUGAAUUAGGUACUUGUUUAUUUCUUGUAAUGUAUCACUGAUAUUUUUUUGGACGUCUAGAUGAGCGAGGUAUGCUUAUUGUUUAUGGAAGUCAAACAAUAGUCAAUGCCAACAAAUAUGGAGCAAAAUAAAACCAAAUAUUUAAUAUGGGCAUUAUGGGAACAAAAAAAAAGCAUUAAAUAUUUAAAAACAAGAAAAUAUGAACUUUAAUAUUUAUUAUGACAUGGAAAUUUAGUCAAAUGACUAUAAUGAAUAUAUAAUCUAACAUAAGGUUUAUAUUGAAUUUCAAUCUUAAUCGAGGAUUAAAAUGGAGAGAGCCCUUUUACCAAAAAAACAAAAACAAAAACAAAGCUUGAAAGAGAUGGCAAAAGAAAAAGGCUUUGUGUUGAUGAAACAACGUCUCAAAACUUGAAAUUCCUUUUUUUAACACUAAAAUAAAUUACAACAAAGGAUCUUAAUUUCAAACAUGUCAAAUUAUGACUUAUAUAAUAAGCUCCAUCAUGAGUUGGAAUUAUAAAUUUCUAAGACAUCUAUAUAUGGUUCAAGUCAAAAAGCAACUUUUGAAACUGAUGCAAACCAAUAUUGGUUAGGGAUGUGAUAUUCACACAUAUUUUUUUACUUCUCUCACACCCUUUUAAUUUUCGGCCGUUUGAUCGGAUGAAUUGAAGAAUAUCAAAUGAAAUAAAUUAAUAAAGGGUGUGGAAGAAGUAAAAAAAUGGUGUGUGGAUAGCACACCCCUAUUGGUUAAUUGGAAGCAUGAGCCUUGACAUUGAAACUUGAAACUCAAACCCUAAACCAAUGGAUGUACGUGUAUACCUACGGACUUUUAACUAGCUCAUAAAUUAGCGAUAUUUUAUUUUUUAAAUAUUAAAAGAGAUUUCAAAUUCAAAUUAAUCUUAUCGUUGAUCAAAAAAUCAUGAUAAAAAUCAUUUAACAAUUUAGCGUGCAUGUCACGUUGUGAGCUCAUAAAUUCUUAAUAUACGUCGUAAGCACCAACAAUUACGCAUUCAAAUAAGAGAAGGUAAAACAAAAAAAUAAGUUGAAUUGUAUGGCCUAUAACAUUUCAUCUUCAUGUCUUAUCACUUUAUAUUUUGUGGUACAAAAAUCACCAGAUGCAUCAAAAUAUAUUCCAAGCUGAACGUUGAAAAAUCGAGCCCGAACAAACGGUAGCAGACAAAUCACAUGCUGGCAUAUGUUGACAAUUGCAAAACCUCAGUAUAUUGAUUUUCUGGUUAUGUUCGCAUAUUUCUGAUUAUGAUUGCAAAACCUCUACAUAUUGAUUUUCUGAUUAUGUUGGAAAAUUAGUUGCUUAGUUUAUAUUAUUUGUAAUUUUUUUGGGUCAAGAGUGUUUGUUUUAGUAUUUUUCUAUAUACAAGAGUGCUUGAAUUCAUUUUUUUUAUGUAAAAAGGGAUUAACUAGUGGUUUCACCAUGACAAUUUACCAUUUCGAGGGCUGAGAAGAAUGACAAAGAUAUUUCAACAUUAUCCUGACCACCAUCAUGUUCACAAGCGCUAGGAAUCGAACCCUGGAUGUGCUGUGUGAAAUACGAACAUGAAAUUCAUCCUCAAUCAUUGCGUCACCCCUGUGAUGGUUGUAUUUGUUGUUUUAACAAGUCAUUCUCAAUGCAGUCUUAUGAGUUAUGUACCGUUUCGAUCAGUUAAUAUUUUUCUCUUUCAUUUAAUGUAGCAUUAUUAAUAAUUUAAUAUUUUAUUAUUUCAUAGCAUAUUUUGAUUUUUUAAUAUAUACGUGUGUGUAUAUAUAUAUGUGUGUGUGUGAGGUAAUUAGAAUAAUUCGUCUUCUUUUACCGGAUGAUCCAUGGUCGUUGUGGAUGUGAUUGCCAAUCAUAACAAUUUGAAAUAUUAAUAAAUUAUGUCUCUUUUAAAUUGAAACAUACAUCACAAAAAAUACAACACAUACUUUUCAAAUGCAUGCUACGAUUUGAGUUCUUGACUUUGAAGUCGAGCACCCUUCAAUUUCUAAGAUCCUGGCAUUGGGUGGCUAGCGACCUUUAAUUCAAUAUCAAUAAUGACCACAAAAGAAUUAAGAUAAAUUAAGGAAAUAGUCUAAUGUUCAUUAUAUAUAUUUUGUGUAAGUAAUUUAUAGCUUUUCAAUAUCUUAGUAGAUAAAAUGUUGAGUUUUUAUCCAUCCGUUUCGAGUCCAAUACUCUUAUCUGCUCUAAAUUAUCAAUUAGAAUUGUUUCUAAUACUCCGACCUUCUCCCCUUAAUAAUAAUGAUUUAAAAUAUAAAAAUAUCCAAUAUAAUGUGUAUUUGAUUAGAUCGUGAUAUAUAUAUAUAUAUAUAUAUAUAUAUGUGUGUGUGUGUGUGUGUGUGUCACACAUCACCUUAGUCAAUCUUAAAAAAAAAAAGGCUUUAUAGCCAAAAUUGUCUAUGAGAUUUGUAUCACACAUCAUUUUAGUCCGUAAAAUUUGAAAUUAAUAGAAGUGGUAUCUGAGAUUGUCCACCAUUAAUCAUUUUGGUCAUUCUGUACAAAAUUAUGUUAAAUACGGAUCAAAAUGACAAAUAUACCCUCAAUUUAAUAAAUAAUGGGCCAAAAUGAUUUGACAAAAAUAAGAGUAUUUUGAUCAUUCUAUUUUUAUUUAAUGGAGAUUUUUCAAUGAAUUAUUAAAAUGAUUGAUGGUGGACAAACUCAAAUGGACCAAUUAUAUUGAUUUCAAAUCUUAAUGACCAAAGCGGGGAGUUAUGCAAAUCUCAAUAACCAUUUUAUAUGAAGUUUCAUUUGCACGCCUAAUUGUGAAAAAAUUAUGGUUCCGCGAUUAAAACAUGGACAAAUGGCGAGUUUAAUUACUAGAGCAAAAAGCUUUGCAUUUACAUUUAAAUGAUAAAUUCUUUUGGGAUCCGAUUUCCUUGAUUUCAUACGGAAAUGUAGUAGGUAAAAUAAAAUGUAUAGAUAAAACCAUCCUAUAUGAAAAAUAUAGACUAGUUGCAUUUGCUUGCAUGUGUUAAAAAUGAACGAGGCUAGAAAGAGAGAGAAUGAUUAAUUAUAAAUGGUAUUGCAUGCUGUAAAUUGCUUUAACAUAGGUGGUCGGUCAAGAACUGACAACAAAUUUUGGAAGUGGUUUUUAAUAAAUUAACCCUAAUUAAUUAGUCUAACAAAUCCAUUUCAUCUUAUUUUUUGUUUGUUUACAUAUUCUGAGCUGUUUAAUUAUUCAAAACCAUAUUUCAAGAAAAAAUUAUUUUUUCAGGGAUCAAAACAAAAUCGUUCAAAAUUUAUAUAUAGCAAAAAGGAACAAUGAACUCAUUCAACAUUACUAAAAAGAAAAUCAUUUACAAACUCAUACAAAUACAGUAAAACCUUUGUAAAGUUAUACUGUUGGGACCAAACCAAUUUAAUUGAUGUGUAGUUAAAAAUAUUAUUAAUUGUUUUAUUUAUCCUUGAUGAAUGUUGUAUUUCCUAAAUAAGAUUCCAUGGACGCUAAGUAUUUUCUUUCUUGCAUAUUUUUACACUCAUUAACAAUUAUAACGAUGCAGACGCAUGUUUUUUUAAGAUAGGACCGAGAAAAACUUUAACUUAUUACAAUAUGAAGUUUGUUUCAGUACAUAAAUAAAAUAUUAUUUAUUGACUUAUUUAUUCUUAAUGAAUGUUGUUUUUCCUAAAUAAAAUAUGUUAAACGUGUUUUUUUUAUAACGAAACAAAGAAAAAUUAGGCUAUAUCCACAAUUUGGGGCGCUAGAUUCAGCCUAUGCGCAAUGCAUUAGAUAUGCUUUUAGUAGGAAAAAGAAUUUAGAUGUAUCAAUACUAUGUAAGUUGUUCUAUGUUAUAUGUUUGUAACUUAGGGUUGGUUUGAUAUUGCUGUGCUUUGAAAAAAACUACUUCUGUUAUACUGUGAGAAUAAGCUCAUUUCUGCUGUUUCACAUUUUCAGUUUUUUUUCAUUCAAAACUUUGAAAAUCAGCUGUUUUUAAGUGUUUACCAAACACCUUUUUAAGUUCAGUUUUUUUUUAUACUUACUUUUUAUAAAAGUAUCCCAGUACCGAACCAGAACUUAGUACAAUGGUUGCGAUGUUUCCAUGAAAGGAGGAAAAAAGGAAUAAUGAUGUCAUUGUGUGCAGAGCAAAAUGGAAUAUUGAUGUCAAUUAAUUACCAGACGCAAAUUAUGAGGAGCAAAAAAAUCAGAGAGAGAGAAAAGAGAAGGUUGACAAAAAAAAAAAAAAAAAAGAGAGGGAAAAAAGAAAAUGGUCGCUUUCAAGUUUGAGCAGAAACAGUAAUGGAGAUGGGAACACAAGUACCAGUCUUCAGCUCCGUUUCCGCCCGCCCAUUAAGGUAAACGGAAUACACAAAUCACACCUAAACCUGCAUUUUAAUACCAAGAGGGACGACCACCAAAAGCUUUCUCCUUUUUCAUUUUUUUCCCUUUUGAUAUUAUAAAAGAUUGCAUCUUUUUAUAUAUAUAUUUUUUUAACUGAGAAUUUCAAGCUCUCUCUCGCUCUCCAUGGUUGCUGACAGAAACAGAUGCUAAAGGGCAUCAGGACAUCAAAACUUGAUUGGUAAUCUGCAAAUCCACGAGGUGGGUUUUUUCGAAUAUUCAAAUCUUAUUAGUUUGAACUUUUGGUGUUUGGAGGAAGUUUUUGUGAUUAUUUGGUUGUGAAAUUUAGGAUUUUGGCAACAUGGGUCGGUCCAAAUCUGAUUAGGGAGGGCUCUCUGAUCAAAAGGGAGCUAUUUUUCUGUAAAUUUGAGAGAACACAGGAGGUAGGAUUUGAUUAUUGUGGACAAGUUAAUAUGCGUUGCAGCUGCUUUGGUGCUUCGGUUGCUGAGAAGAGGAAAAGGAAAUCUGGUUCUGGUCAAUUUGGCCAUGAUCUUGAUGGUACGGACAUGGUUAAAUGUUCCCACUUUCUGGUUUUGUUAUUUUUUUUUUACCUCCGUACUGUGGCUUUUUUGUUCAUUGGAUUCUGCGGAUCAUCAUUGUUAUUGUGAUUGAUUGAUUGUUAUGUGUGUUGCAUAGAGAAUGUGCUGGAAAAUAUCAAGGCUUUCUCUUACAAUGAAUUAAGAUCUGCGACGGAUAAUUUCCAUCCGAGUAACAAGAUCGGGCGAGGCGGUUUUGGAACUGUGUACAAGGUACUCAGAUUAUGCAUUUGUCUUGUAAUAGUUAUAAUUGGGAAGUUUGCACCAAUUAUAGAGAAUUCAUGAUAUCUGUGGUUCGAAUUAUGUUAGUUGUUUUCGAUUCCAAAUUUGUUGCAAUGACUAAUGAGUUGGCUCAAAAUAUCAAGCAAUUGGGUUUGCGUUUUAAGAACACUUCAAGUUCUAUCCGUAUGUUUUUCUAACACAUAGAUGCAAUGUUUGGUCUGCUAAAAACUCUCACCUGUAGUUCAAGAUUUGAGAAAAAUAGUGAUUUUGUAUUUUCCUAGUAUUAUGAUUUUAUAGCCGACCCCACUUAGUGGGAAAAGGCUUUGUUGUUGUUGUUGUUGUUGUUAUGAUUUUGCUUUAGAUCAUGCGGUGAUUAAGAAUGUUAGCCACCAAUUUGGAUUGAAUUCUGCGACGUUUCUAGACAGUAAUUUCUAUUUCCUAGUUUCCAAGCUUUCGUUGCUGGUCUUACAUUUCAAAGGACAAACUUUAAUAAUGAUUAUGCAUUAAUCAAAAUAUGUAGAUGGUUUUUGUCCAUGACAUUUCAUAUUGUCUUAGUAGUUUAGCUGCGUUUUGCUAGGGAACCCUGACAAGUGGAAAGCAUGUUGCUGUCAAGACACUUGCUGCUCAGUCGAAGCAGGGAGUCCGUGAAUUCUUAAAUGAGAUUAACACUAUCUCAAAUGUCCGGCAUCCAAACCUUGUUGAGUUGAUUGGGUGCUGUGUUCAGGAAGCUGAUCGAGUUUUGGUCUAUGAAUAUGUUGAGAAUAAAAGCCUUGAUCAUGCAUUAUUAGGUAAAUGGAUAAAUUUUUUAGCAUGUAAAGAAAACUGUAGGUACACAAUACACAAGGAUGGACCAUAAGUCUAAUUUGUUUUCCUUUUGUUUGUAGGUCCAACGAGUAGAACCAUCAAACUGGAUUGGGAAAAAAGAUCAGCCAUUUGCUUGGGUACUGCCAGGGGUCUUACGUAUCUUCAUGAAGAACUGGUGCCACAUAUUGUACAUAGAGAUAUCAAGGCUAGUAAUUUACUUUUAGACAGAGAAUUUAACCCGAAAAUCGGAGACUUUGGGUUGGCUAAACUCUUCCCUGAUGAUAUCACUCAUAUCAGCACAAGGAUUGCGGGCACAACGUACGUUACUUUCAUAUUUCUAGUUGAUUCAGUUUCCUUGAUUGAUUCAGUUAGGAAUUUAUGUUGCAUUGUAUUUUCCAAUUUUUCCUUGCUUAAUUCACUUAGGAGAUUAUAGAGAGAGUUUAUGUAGCUGCUUAUGCUUUAGUUUCAUUUUUUCAGUGGUUAUUUGGCACCAGAAUAUGCAUUGGGAGGUCAGUUAACCCUCAAGGCCGACGUUUACAGUUUUGGGGUUCUCGUUCUUGAAAUAGUAUGUGGAAGAAGCAGUGCCAAGGGAGACUGGGGUGGGGCAGAAAAGUUUCUGCUUGAAUGGGUGCGUUGUUUAUUUCCAUUUUUCGACAAAAUUCUUGGCAUAUCAGAUUCAUUAAUUUUUUCCUUGACCAUACGCGCAAUCUUAUAUUGCGAUUUUGUACACUUUGUAGCUGUUGAGGUCAUAUGGACUUAUUUCAUUUUCCAUUUACGUUCUUUUCCACGAUCAUACUCGCAGUCUUAUUCUGCUUCCUUUUACAAUUCUUUCGUUUCUUCGAUAGGCAUGGCAGCUCCAUGAAGAAGGGAGACUAUUGGAGCUAGCUGACCCGGAGAUGGGGGAAUUUCCGGAGGAAGAAGUCCUUAGGUACAUGAAGGUGGCAUUUUUCUGCACCCAAGCAGCAGCAAACCGAAGACCAAAGAUGAGCCAGGUUCUUGACAUGCUCUCGAGAAACAUAAGACUCAACGAGAAACAACUUACAGCCCCAGGUUUCUUCAACAGUUCAGGGAGCCUGAGCGGACCUUCAGGUAAAAAGUCAUUUUCCGAAACCACUACCAGUCAGAUGAGUUCCGUCCCCGACACUAUAACUCAAGUAACACCUCGCUGAAGAACAAUGUAAUUGUGAGUCAGAGGAAGACGAAGAUGAAAUUAUCUGCAAGUCCGCAACAAAUUAUUCAACAGUUGAUAAUUUUUGUCAACCAUUUUACACGCUUUUUUUCUUCUUUUCUUUUUAGCCAUUUUGAGUAGGGAGAGGGUGGUUUGAGCAGAGUCUAUAAUUUAUUUUCAUUAAAGAAAAUGGUACGAAUACGAUUGUACAAAUAGACCCUAAACUUUAGUCCACCGGUCAUAUGGUUUCAGAUUUGAUGUUUUUUGAUAGACAUGAUUUUUGACGAAAGACUUAAAAGAUAGACAUUUCAGAUCAUUAAAAUAAAUUACUUACCUCACAAAAACAAGUGUCAAAAAUAUUGUCACGGAUCAAUUCCCAUAUAUAUACAUAAUAGAUGCUUUCGACAACAGCAAGAAUGUUGGAUGCAAUAACAAUUGAGUCGGAGGGUAUUUUUAUUUUUAUUUUUCAAAGUUGUGCUUCAUAUGGUUUUUAUCUAAGAAAGUUUUGAGAGGCGUAGUUAUAAAAGAUCCCUGCAAAAUGGAAAAGUUUUCAUGGAGAUUUCAGGGAUUCCGUGAUCACGAUCAUUCAUCGUAUAUUGUGCGAUCAAUUUUUGUUAGGUAUUAUUUACACUUAAUUUUAAAUUUUAAAAUAAUUUCUGAUCGCACGAUGUAUGAUGAAAGGUCCUGAUUACGAGAUCCCUAGGAUCCCUGAAAAAUUUCACACCAUACAGUAUACGUCAUUCAUGAAUAUUUAAACAAAUUUCGAACUUAAAUGCAAAAACGGAAACACAAUUUCUCUAACCAAUUUGGCUAAAUCCGUAAACAUCAAGCAAGAUGAUCGUAUGUAUCAUGGUUGAUGGAAUCUACUCUUUUAAUUCAAAAUUUUGUACUCCUCACAAAAAUAUGGAUGCAGUUCAUCACAACGCGUCUGCUGAUCCAAAAAAGUAAAUAUUCAUAAAAUGUGUGCAAACAACGAAAAUUCCAAAUCUCAAAUCCCAAGCACAACACAUUCAAACACGAAUGUAUAUAAAGGCCUGCACAAUUAAAACCUAAACACUAAUUAAUGGAGGCCAAAUAUUACAAUAUUCGGAUAAUAAGUAGCAAACGAGGCUGGCGAUUUGUAGCCGAUAGUUAAUUACAAUCUCCAAAAAAAAAUAUGGAAGGGUUCGAAUUAAGCAGCGAGUUCCUCGGCAGGUGCAGGAGUGGCUUGUUCGGGAGCGUUUGAAGAACCAUUGGAGGUGGCAUCCUUGGCUUCUGAAGCGGGCACCUCAGCUUCUGCAGACGCAUUAGCUUUUGGUGCUGCAUCCUUGGCCGGAACCUUCCCAUCUUUGGCAUCUUUGGCCGGAGCCUUCCCAUCUUUGGCAUCUUUGGCGUCUUUAGCUGGAGCGGGUGGGGGUGGAAUCAUGUGUGGUGGAGUUUUAUGCUUCAGCCUCACAUGUAUUUGCCGCAGCCUCGAAAGAUCAGUGGGCUUUCCAGGCUUUGGGCCUUGAAUGACUUGGAUCCCUGGUUUCUUUUCCUGAUCCUUCUUGCCUCUCCUCUUCUCAAUGUUGGGAACCUCGUGAGGAAUGAGCUCCGCGAUUGCUUUCCAACUUUGCUUGUCAGCGUUUUUAUGGAAAUUCUCUUGAUUAACCAAGAACAACUGCUCAACAUAUAAACCAACUUUUUAGCAUUAGGAACAAAAAACCACAGCCGGUAGUCAAAAAGCGGGCAUUCCAAUACUUACCUUCUCCUUUUCUCUGUUCUGGACCUUGUUGGUCUCAACGUUAAGCUUCCUUUUCUCGUAGAAUGCACGCUUGAACUCCUCAGCCUCUUCAAUAAUUUGGUUCCUCAGUUCUUUCUCCCUCUUCUCCUUCUCCUCAAGCAGGAUGGCAUUUUGACUGUACCAGAAAAGUCAAGUUAGGUCAUUAAUAUUCUAGCGGAAAAAUAACACCAUUAGCUAACUUGUAACUUUUGUGCAGAUCGACCAAUGCGUGCACAAAUCACUAAAGCAACUUACCGUUGUCAUUUUGAAUGACUACAAUCAACUUACCGUUGUCGUUUUGAACAACAAACAUGACAAAUUUGUUAUUUCAUUAUUAGUUUGUUGUAGUUCAACUGUUAUACCCAAGACUUUUUUCCUAAUGACCAUCCGAUUGGAUUUGAUGGAAAAACUGAACCACCCUUUUUCGUCAUUGAGUUGAUAAAAACUCCGAUGAAGUUUGAUUAACCUCAAAUGAAACUAAAUUUUGCAAAUAACUCACUAGCAAGUCUAGCAAAGAAAGAAAGAACUUAUUCUUCUAUGAUUAAAACAACAAUAAAGCAUUUUCCCACUAAGUGGGGUCGGCUAUAUGAAUCCUAGAACAACAUUGCGCUCGGUUCUGUGAACUCAUUCUUCUCAUUGAAAGCAAAAAAAUUUCCUUCUGGCAAUCAGAUCCAAGAAAAUCAAUAGCAAUCCUCAUUCCGAAACGCUAAAUUUGACUCGAAAAGCACUACAAUUCGGUUUAGAAGCAGCUCCAAACUACACAAACACAAUCAAUCGCUGAUCUAUGUCUUUAAGAACCGCAUAAACUUAACGAUUUGAUCAACCUUUCUCGAAAAAUCGCAACUAAAGAACUAACAACCGUACCUUUUAGUGAUCACAACUACAAGAAAUCACACAGAUCUAACAAUAGUUCAAUACAGACACCUAUAUUUAGCUCAAAAUCUAAGAUCAAACGGAUGCAGAAUUUCACAGAUCUAAAGCAGCAGCUCACAAAGCAAGCAACUAGAUUUCUCAAAAAAAGCGAAUCGGAUCCGGAUCUUACCGCCGCCACUCACGAAGAGCGGAACCUUCCUCGACAAACUCGCUAGGUUCCGGGAGCACGGGACCGUCGGAUGUGAAGACGCCAUCGUCGAUUCCGUUCUCGCCAACGCCGUAACCAUUUCCGUCGCCGUUCUCAACUGGAGCUGAAUCGAAGGGAGUGGAGUGGGAGUAGUUGGAGCCGGGACCGUCGAAUCCGAAAACAUCCGGGGAGUCAGGGGCGGCGGUGGCGGCGCCGUGGUCGGUGUAGGAGCCGUAGUCGGCGUAGCUCUCGACGACGACUUCGUCCUGGUCAAAUUGGCUGUUAGGGGCAUGAAGAUCGUCGCCGUCCACGCUGAAAGCGUCGAAGGAAGCCAUUUUUGGCGGCGGUGAUUUCUGUCUCUCUCUGUCUGAAGAGGAUUUCAGUGGAAAUAUUUUGAAAGGGAAAGAAAGAGGUUUUAAUUGGAAACUAAUGGAAGAAGCUCUAAUUUUUGGUCUUGUCAAAUUUCGCUGUAAAUUUUGACUGACGUUCGGACUACCACUUUUUUACGCUACAUAUAUAUAUAUAUAUAUAUAUAUAUAUAUAUAAUAUAUAUAUAUAUAUAUAUAUUGAUCUAUUGUUUAGUAAUACUUUUAAAAUUAUUAAAUUGCAUUUAAAAUUGACAUAAUUCUUCAUUUUGAUAUUUGACAAUAAAAUUUAACAAAAGUAGUUCUGAGUUUAUCUACCUUAAACCAUUGAGUAAUGAUAUUCAUACCAUAUUUUUGUACCACAUUUUCAUAACACGUAGCAUUUGAUGUAGACAAUCACAUCAUUUGAAUUAAUCAGAUUUUUAAAUUUAGUUCAUUAUUUAAUAAACUAAUAAUUAAGAAAAAACUAGUUAAUUAAAUAAUGAUUGUGGCAUACGAGGAUUCUUUCUCCUUUAUUUCCUUGUGUUUUGCAAAUUUUUCAAAUGAUGUGGCUGUCCACAUCAGAUACAACCUAAUAUGAUACAGAAAUGUAGUAUAAAAAUGUGGUAUGAAUAGUAUUACUCUAAACCAUUAUAUUAUGUGAAAAAUAUGUCAAAAUCUUCGUUAAAUUAUCACAUAAAACGACCAUGACCACCUUUUUAAGACUAUACUUGUCAAACCAACUCUUUCACUUAACGUGAAUAUUAACAUAUUUUUUCAUAAAAUAAUAAAAUGAUUUACAGUGGACAAACUCAGAGACUGAUUCUAUCAAUUUUCAAUAUCAAGAAUGUCAAGAACUACUUUGGCUAAAAAACCUUUUAUUAAUUGUUAACUUUCAUGUCAUAUGUGUAUCUCCCUCUCUUUUUUUCUCUCUCCUCACGUGACGGGGGCAUUUUAUGCUCAUGCCACACCCUGCACUUAUGUGAGGAUGCUACCAGAUUCAUUACAACAUCAACAAACGCGAUCCUUAAUAUUACAAUCUAGUAGUAUUUUUCUUUACUUGUAAGCGAAAGAUCUUAAGUUCGAUUCUCGCCAAAGGUAAAUUUGAACCGCAUUGUGACGCUUAGUCCACUCCCUUACCCCCUCAGAUAAUAUUGUUUGUUAAAAAAAAAUUAUCAACUAACGCAAUACUGGUAACAAAAUUUCCAUUCCGUCGACGGUAAGCGAAAACCAUAUUACAUUUAGCUCAAUUUACAUCAGUAAGCAGUUCCACCUCAAGUAACAUAUCCCAGAAGACUGACAUUUUCUUAUACUCCCAAUCUUUGCAGAGAUGGACACCGAAAGAAAACUGGCAAUCGGACUGAAAUAACCAUCGAUGCUUAGAGCGUGCCGGGACUACAUAGCCGCAACUCUGAGCAUAGCCAAAGGCAGACGUCGAAGCCUCCGUGUCCUGUUUACUUCCGGUAACUAGACAUCAAUACACUGUCAAUCCUACCUAGAUAGGCACUUUCGAAAGUCUUGGAAGAAAUGCAUCAACCACACAAAAAAGGAGUUACACGGCAUUGCCUUCCGAAAACGUGCAAGGAGGCUUAUAAGCAUUUGGUUGUGGGGGGGGAAAUCGUUACAACAAUGACUGAAAACCACAAGAAUGUUAGGACUGUAGUCACCUGACAAGCACCUCCCCGUUCUUUCAGAAGAAUCUGUAACGAAGCUGCAAGCUCAAUCUUGUCCACAAUUAAGCAGCUACGGCUCCAUGGUCCUCGCCCUUCUAUAUAAUAUGUACGGAAGACGUUAUGUCAGUAGCUAUACCAAAAUGGGAUGAAAUGGUGGUAUGAUUUUCAGGGAACUGGUGGAGCAUUUUUCGGAUAUCUAGCAGAAGAGGGCAUCCGUUGAAGAACUUGUGGAAACUCCUGCUUCAUUCGUUUAUUUGGCAUCCCUUGGAAAGACCUUUUUACCAGAAACACCAAAUUAGAAGGGAAGAAUACACAAUAUAUAUGGAGAGGGAGGGAGGGAGAGAGAGAGAGAGAGAGAGAGAGAGAGAGAGAGAGAGAGAGAGAGAGAGAGAGAGAGAGAGUAGCAACUAACAAAAUUUACAAGGAGAAAAAAGGGAAAAGGUCUCAACCUACAUAUUAUUUUGAUAUUCUGCAAAAAGUCAAUACAGAAAGCAAGAAAGUUUUGCUAAAAUUUAAAGCGACGUAUAAUUUUCAAUUAUCCUCAUAAGUUUUAGUUUGUUGGCUGGAGCUGUAAAACUAAUCAAAGCUGCAAGAGCUUUCAUGUCAUGUGCACCAAGAGCUACGAAAUAGAGCCAACUGAAUUAUUGGCUCACUUUGGGCUGCUUGAUCCAACGAAAGUUCAAACUUCAUUAAAAAAUUGGCAAACAUAAUUACACACUCGCAGCUGAUGAAUUCACACACCUUGGAGAACCCUGACGUUUCUGAGCAAAUAAAGUUGAUCUUAGACUUCCGAGCGCCUUUUCAGCGGCCUAAGGAAAAGAUUGUUUAGGUGGACAGAUAUGACAUUUCAAAAAGACUAGGCACCACAAAGGGUACUCCGAAUUGGACCGGUAGAAAAAUUACCUGCAUCUUAGCCUCAUCCCACGUCAACCCAAUCCCCUUUCCCAAGACCUCUCCAUCUAUUUCAACCUGCAACAUUAUAAUGAUAGAGAAUUAUAAAGAAAGGAAGGGGGCAGAAAGAGAAAAGAAAUAUGCUUCAAGACAAAACUCAAAUGUUAUUCAGAAUAAUGAAGCAUGUAAUCAUGGCAAAUACAAACCUGUACGUGCACUUCAUCCUUCUCAACUGAAUUAGCUGAAGGUGGAGGUCGCGGUUGAAAAACUACACCACCAAGGCCCUCUAUCAUACACUGAAAUAGGAAAAAUUAUGGAACGUCAAUAAUCAUAACAUCAUUCAGCACCUGGAAAUAAGAGAGAAAAAAAGAUAGAGAGACUAGCAAACUAUCAUGUAUUGAAUCUUACAAGUUCUUUGAGGGCAGAGACUGAAUUCAUAGAUUUUUGGAAGCCUUCAAGCCUAGGGUCUAGUGGCCUAGAAGGCUCCGAUGAAGUUGAAGAUGACAGGGACUCCUCUUUGGGAAAUGACUGGAUCCCAAAAGAAUUCGCAUUACCCACAAAACCAUUGUUGUUAGCAUUAGAAAACUUGCUCAUUUCCCCAUGAACAGGCACAGAAUCAGGCUUGACGGGAAAGGUAUAUAUCUGCAAAAAUGUUGUCCAGGAUUGUCUCACACACAAAAAAAAAAAAGGAAACUAGAGAGAUACCUCAAUAAUAUUUUCCCAUCUAUGGACAGAACCAAGCUAACACAAUAUUCCCUAGUACAGAUGCAAUAAUUUCAUAAGCAAGUUGACUUUGUUUUAGUGCAGUAGGUCCUCAGUCAGUAGUUUCAUAUUGUUCCAACAGUUAAUUGUUCAGUUAAAAACUUUCAAAAUUGAUUGACUGGCAUCUUUAACCCCUGAUGGAAAGCUGACAAAGUUUAAAAUAACCCCUCGAUCCUCCAUCCAUGGCUUUUGCUACAAAAGCACUUCAUUCAGCAGAAUAAUCAUCUAAGAUCAGCUCCAGUAUGAUUAUAUCAGAGACUUGAGAGUUUAAAAUAUUUAGCGGAAGAUAGAUCUUAAAAAUAUGUCAUAUAUUGACUUAAUUCCACAAUAUCCUUUUCCAUCGAAAGUAAGAGAUUGUAGUGUUUGUGGCUUAACAGUCAAGGACAAUGCUGCCUAGAACAUUUUGCCAUCAUUCAAUUUUUGGAAGAAAAGAAGCAAAUGGAAUAUUAGCCUUGAGGUGGGCUUCACAUGUGUCAAAAAUCAAUUAGUUGUCAAUUUGUUCCAUCACUGCUCUAAUAUCAAAUCAGUUUGUCGAGCAUAAAUUUACCGGUACAAGAACCACUUGAACAGGCAUGAAAAUAAUAUUGAGAAUGACAGAUCGCCCAAGCUAGUGGCAAUAAAUACAGCAAUAAGAAAUCUUACUGGCUAAGUUUUUUAGAGAACCCUCGGCAGCCUGGAAAUGAGCUUCCCUUCUUGUUUUACCAGUUCCUUCACCAAUUUUCUCUCCUGCAAACCAAGCCUACAAAAGGCAAAAUGGAUAAACUAAUUAAAGUGUGGCAUCCCCAACAAAGGAAUAUGCAACAUCAGAAAGUAAUAAAAACAAUUUCUGUGAUAAGUUACAUGGUACAGUUUGACCUACAUGGCAUAUGAAAUUCAUUGAUUCAAAUUAUUGGGCCCAUUUACAACUGAUUACCAACACUAAUUACACCCAUUACCAUCAAUUAGAUAUGCUCCAUUCAAUUGUACCGUAUUGCUAUGGAAUAGGGUGCACACAUAUUUACUAUUUCUGCUUUAAAAAAUUAAAAAAAAUCACCAAAACUUAGUAAGAUACUAAGAUGUGAUCAUAAAAGCAAACCAUCAUUUUAUUAUGAAAUAGAAUACAAACCAAAUGCGAUUUCCUGUCUUAGCUCCCUCUUCACUCGAAACCAAAGUUAUCAACUUGUGGACAUAAAGUCCCUAAAAUAUCAAAAAUUGAAAUUUACAUCAAAUGUCACAAACAAUACGACUUAUUACUGAAUGGUUUAAUUUUUCCAAAGACAAGUUAAGUUAUUUACACAUCCCUAACUCUGGCCAAGAAAACAUUGAACUAUGGUUAGAUACGUUCAAAACGUGAUACCCCAGAAACUAAUGUGGAAUUAUAAGGUAGUAAGCCAAAGAUCAAAAGUACCUCAACAUAAAACUGGAGUUCCGUGCUAGCAACCAAAGCUGGCCUAAACUCCACCUGUGGAACACGAGGUUUUGAUAUAUGCAAAAAAUAAAGAGUAAAUUUUCUACUGCAACACAAACAGCUCAAAAUACCUUGGCUCCACACUUCAUUGCGAUUUCCUGUAAGGCUCCAGCAGGAGUUUCUGCAUUUGAUAUAGCUCGUCCAGACUCAAAGUCCACAUCUCUAUUCAUGGAAGGGGAUCGACUCAAGGGAAUCUCCUCACCUUCAAAUUCAUGUCCCCGUUAUAUUACACCACACUCAUGAUAAUAUACAAUAAUUACAUAUAAAUAAAACAACUGUUAGUUACACAUUUUAAGAAAGACAAGAACCAUUAAAUUCCACUUGGUUAAAAGUUCAAAAAGAAGAUAAGAUAACCCAAUUGCAUAAAUAAUACUCAAUUAAUAACCUUCCAAAAAAGAAUAAUCAUUGCCAUGGUAUAGUCCAAACAUGUGAAACUCUAGGCAAAUUGUGAUAGUACACUGCUGAUGGUAAAAGUACUUUUGGAAAAUGUUCAAGCCUUUAAAGCAGCAUCUAUCAAUGAAUUUGUACCAAAAUAAAAUAAAAUAAACUGAAAAUCAUCGUAAAUUGUGCAUGUCAUAGCUCACCUGACACUGAAUGAUAGCCAGCCGAUGCAUGGUUGAAUCUCAGCCGAUCAUCUCUAUGAAAUGCCUGCAAAACAAUAAUCUUUUAGGACUAGUCUUGUCUACAAUCCAGUCACAAGCAACAUCCAUCACUCAGCAUAACAAAAUAGGAUUAAAGCCAGAUCAACAAAGUGUAAAUACCUCUUUCGGAAAUCUUUGAUUUUCUUGAAGAAUCCUAUCAGAUGGAAUAGAAUUAUCAACCUUUGAGAAAAAAGAUGAAUGAUGAGGUCGAUGCUUCUCAAUCUGCAUUGGAUCUGGAUCCAAUGGAAGUUCUUUGGGUACCGUCCGGCUCAGUUGCCGAGGGCUCAUUUCUUCCUCCACUGGAAACCAGCCUGGACGCGGUUGCACCCGUGGAACAGAGGCUUGUACUGGAGGUCUGACAGCAAAUGGGGGCUCACUCGGUGGUGGUUCUCUUGUAUCUUGGCCAUGCUGCAAAAUCAGUAGCCUCCGCCUUGUAUCAGGGUCUAACUCUGAUUCAGGUACCUCUCCCUCCUCUCUAGCCGGAGAACUAUGCAAGCUUGGUUCUGCAGCGCCAAGAUGACCCAACGGUUUAACCACUGAAGCUCCCUGAGGGAACUGUAUAUUAGGAAAAGUCAUUGGUGAUUGCUGACUUGACGGCAGUGAAGUUGUGCUAGAGGAAGGAGCCAUAGAGUACUGAAGAGAAGCAAGCCUUGGAUCUAUGUUAGUGACUACCGAAGAAGCCGUUAAAGCAGCUGAGGUUGCUUCCUACAUGCCAGAAAUAGGUCAACCAAUAAAUGAACUUUAACAAAUUCGCAUAUGCAGAUGCACAAAAACGUUCAUCCAAAGUGGAAAGUUCGCAUAUCAAUGGAAAUACUGAAUCUUUAUAUACCUUCAGUCUUCUUUCAACCUCAGCAUCUGCCAUGCCAUCAAAAGUGAGCGGGUCUCUGUUUCCAUUUAAAGCAGAAGGAUCAUCCUGAACAACCAAAAUCUAUUAGUGGAAUUAUCAUAUUGUGACAACUGUGGUGUGGAGGAGAUUUUUCGGGAGAAAUUUCAUUAAAAAAUAAAUAAAAGAACAUCAUAAAAUUGUUCCAACUAACCUCUGAAACUAGAUGAUUGCUCACAUCAGGUGAAGGGACAUCUUUAAUAUCAUCUUCAUAAAAAAAUUCAGGAAUCUUUUGUAGAAGACUGUCAUCAAAUUCUCUGUUAUCACACCAAAAGGUGAUGUCAUGCCAACAGAACACCAUUAUUUUGCUCAUAAACAGAGCAUGGCUUUACACGAAAACAGUUUAGAGACAUUAAUUCCUUACUUAAAAAAUCCACCUCUGACAUUGCAAGCAACAUUUCUUGCAACACACAGGACAGGGACUGUGUUAUUUGCCUGUAAUAUUAGGAGGUAUGAUGAGUUCAAGCUAAAGAGGAAAAUAAAUAAAUAUGCAAAAUGUGCAUUUUUGACAAUAGAUCAGUUUAAAAAGUUAAUAUCCAUAUAAAACAAAGCAAAGACUUUUACUUCAGCUUGAGGAGCAUAAUACGGAGCAAAAGCAGGAACAACAUGCACCCGAGGUUGAUCUCUCUCAUCCCACACUUUCAAGCGAUCAUCAAUUACCAAUGCCAUCUUAGGAUGGCAUAAGCUUUCUUGGAAGACAUUGAACAACGACUUUCUUGAACCUAUCAUAAUAUAUGAAAUCCAUUAAUUAAACAGAGAAAUGCAUGUGACUUCCAGUGAAAUUGUAAAACAAAAUUUAUAAACGAAAUAUAACAGUUACCAGACUUCACACAGACAAUACGAUCAAGUAAUUUAUUUGAGUUUAUCAAGUUUGAAUCAGGAUCAAGAAGCCUCCACAUUUCCAAUGCAUAAUCCCUUUCAGCCAUUGUGCAAACAUAAACCUCAAACCGCUUGCGCCCUCUUGCAGUCAGGUAGCUCCGAAGAUCUUCCCAUGCAGGUCUCAACCUCACAAGAACACUUGUAUCACGAAUCUAAGACAGAAAUCCUAUGUUACUUAGGACACCUUAUAACGAUGAGUACGGAGACUUACUACAAACAAAAGACAGAUAAUGCGAAAACAACAAAACCAUCCACACAACCGGAUCAAGCAGAUGUUGACCAAAAUAACCAAAUGAGGAAUGAUGACGAAGAUAAUAAACAAGGUAUUACAUACCUGCGGAUUAAUGCGAGUCAGUAUAAUAUUUUUCUCAUGUAAUCGUAUAAGAGGCCGAAUAAUAGGUUGAUGAUUGUCAGACAAGGCUGGAACAACCUCCGAUUGAGUUUUGACAACUCUCCCAUUAUCAACAACUUGAUCAUUUUCAGCAUAUUGCUUCAAUAUAAACUUGUCAUCUUGAUACCGCUUGAUCUCUGCAAGCAUACCAGAAAUACGUAGUGGGUCCACCUCAGUGCUUAUCUUCCUCUGUAGGGCCUCAAUUCGAUCCUCAAAAGAGCGCAUUGUAUUUGCAACAAUGAGUGUUUCAUCAAGAUCAAAUACAAUGCCCAGACAUCUAAGAUUCAGCAUGACAAGGCAAGAAUUGUAUAGUCCUGAUGCAACAUAGAAUCCCCAGAAACAUGGGAACUGUUUACCACCAUUCCUGGAUUGCAUGGCAACCAAAUGAAGCUCCUCCCCUCCUAGGGGCAUUACUGCAGUCUGAAGAAAAGCAUGACGGCUCAAGGUUUGCACAAAGUACCAUUCAUUCCAGAUAACAUAGGCAGAAAAUAAACUUACUUUUCAAUCAACGUUAACACAUAAAGUUCAAACCAUAAUAAGAAUUAGGCAACUGCAUGUUUCCAUUUUAUAAAGGACUCUACGCUGCAUUCCAACAUAUAACAAAACUGAAAACUUGGUACUGCAGAAUUCUAGAGUUUUUCCUUAAACACUCUAACAUCCAAUUAGAGCACAACAAAAACAGUUCUUCCUUAAACACUCUAACAUCCAAUUAGAGCACAACAAAAACAAAAUCAUCCAAUACUCGUAAAUGAAUAAUUCACGCAAUCAUCAUCUCUACAUGUAACAGCAUCCCGCAAGCACAUAUACAAUAAGAUCAGAAACAAGCCAUCACAAAAAAAAAAAAAACCAUAAGGUAUAUUCUCAACAUCAACGCGUUCUGUCAUUGUACUAAACUCAGUAAGUUGAGGAAUAAAGUUCAUCUUACAAUUCUAUGAAAUCAAGUCCAUAGUUUCAGUUCAAAACAGUUAAAAGUUCAAACAGCUCAUGCAAUUUGGGGCAAAAAUUUUACUGGGUUCAUCCAAAGUUUCAAACUUUACAGUGAAAUUCAAAAUUGGUCCAUGUGAAAUUGUUCAGAGUCCUCUGUAACAACAUUAUAAAGUUAAAAGGGGUUAAAUUAGAAUAUGGGUUUUCAAUUUUUAUCUGUUUUUUUCUGCAAUUUUGUUAUUUUCUUGGAGGUGGGAGUUUAAUUCAAUGGUUGUGCUGCUAUACCUUGUUCUCCUGAGUCAUGGAGGAGUGCAAAAGAAAGAGCGGCGUGUCCGGAGACGACAACGGCGACGUCUUUGACUCCAUCAUUUUGAAGCAAACUCCAUUGGAGGAGUUUAUGGUAUGAAGCACUGCCACUGGUGGACAUCUUUCACUUGGUUGAGAAAAAUAGCUUAUUCUGAUUUCCUUCAACACAUCCUGAACAUUCUUGUUGUUCUCGUUCACUGUUGGAUAUAUCUCUACUUCCCCAAGUAAAUCUUCGCCUUUAUACACGAACUUAUACAUUUUCUCACUUGCCAAACACCAAUUUUCUCAAUGCCCAAACACCAUCCAAGAAGAGAAAAAAAAAAAGAAACUCAGAAAUUUUAUUCCCUCCUUUGAUCUCUCAUCAAAGUUUCAUUCAAUAAAAACAUCAAUUUCGUUGAUUUCUUUCAACAUCGUCGUCAUCUCCAAAAAAAAUCCCAAUUUUGGUUUUAAAUCACAAAAAUUCGUAGGAAAAAAAAAAGAAAAAAAAUUAGGGUUUUAUUUUCGAGUGAAGAUCUUAGAUCCUUGAUUGAUGAUGCAGCGUUUACGAAAUGGAAUCGGAUUUUUGUUCUGAAUUGUGGUGCUAAAAGCUAGGGUAUGGUGACGAUGGAGAAGAACAAGGGAGCCGUCGCGAGGAGAAACCCUAGAUCCAGAUAGCGAAAGGUCAAAUUAGCAGUGCAAUUCAUAUGUCAGAAAAUAAUAUUAUAAAACAAAAUUAAAUAUAAUAAAACGAUACCUCCACUCUUGGGUCAUUUUCCUAAUUUAUACUUCUUUCAUGCUAUUUUUAUAAAUUUCCAAAAUUCUGCUGUAAUUCACUGAACCAAAGAUUCAAAAUCCGUUCAAAUGAAAGUUUUUAUCGUAUAAUUAUUAACAAGUCGCUUACGUUGAAUGAAAAUAUUCAUGGAUCAAGAAAGCCAGAAACAGAAAAGGAGAAUGAACGGGUCAUUAUUCUCGUGAUUGAUUUAACUUUAAGUUUUUUUUAGUUUUGAAUUCUUAAUAUAGCUCUAACAACCAUGUAAUACAGUCGAUAUCAGUUCGUAAACGCAUAAAAAUGAGAAUAAAAAAUAAUUAUGUUAUAUUCGUGCAUAACAGUUCAAAAUAACGCUGAUACUCAUUUAAGUAAACAUGUCAUAAAUUAUUUCCUACCACUUAUACUGUUACACAAUGUUGAGGUAAAUGUGACGGUGUUUAAAAGCGGGGGCUCAGGUGAAAAGUGGGUUAAUAAAGCUGGGGAAGAUAAGCAAUAUGGAAAGUUUAUGGGUGACGGGUUGACAGGUUAGAUUUUGGGUCAUAACACGUGGCAGAUGGCGGCUGGUUGACGUUAUGUACGGCUGUGGUUUAUAAGAUUCUGAAAUUUUGACUUAUCUGUAAUAUUACACAUUUGCCCUCGUGUCGUUGUGUCUGCAAAACUUUCAUUUCGAUAAACGUUUGCUUUUUCAUUACCAUGGAAGAAAAUGCUAUCGUCGAUAUUAUCGGUUUUUCGGGGGAUGGAUAUUUUAAGUGGUAUCCGAAUGGUUUUCGUCCAAAUAUCGCGAAAUUAUCGAUAAUAUCGCGAUAUUUUGGAAAUAUCGCGAAAUUUUUUUGAACGGUGCAAUCGGACUCCGAGCCGAACGUCGGAGAUGGUGUGCCUAUUCCCGAGCCGAUUUCGUCCCAAAAACCUUGCAAAAACACGAUUUUUAACAUCAAUUUCACAUAUAAACUUCAGAUUUCACGCAUGCAAGAGGUAAUCAACAUAGGGUUUAGUCGGAUCUCACUUGAAAACUUGGGUGUGCCUGAGUGUGGGUGUGAUCGGGGAAGCCGAGCUUCCUCUGCUCGUCUCCGUGCUUCCCAGAGACGGAGGAGAGGGAGGGAGAGUUCAGGAGGGUGGUGGAGAUGCUGCGCUGGCAUCGGGGUGGACGGAUUUGGGUGUGCCUGGGUAUGGGUGCGAUCGGGGAAGCCGAGCUUCCUCUGCGCGUUGCCGUGCUUCCCAGAGACGGAGGAGAGGGAGGGAGAGUUCAGGAGGAUGGUGGAGAUGCUACGCAGGCAUCGUGGUGGACGGAUUUGGGUGUGCCUGGGUGUGGGUGCGAUCGGGGAAAUAGAGUGAGAGAACGAGAGUUCGAGAGAAAGAUAGAGUUGAGAACUCUGAGAGAGUGAGGGGUCCGAGAGGGACUCGGGAAAAGAGAGAGAGAUAGGGGUGAUGGUUAGUGGGCUGCCACGUGGCAGCGUGACAGAGAGUGAAAAUCAAGAUGGAGGUCCAGAUUAGAUUAGGAUAAAGGACUCAAUUGCACAAUUUAUAUAAUUUCAGAAAAAGAGUGAAAAUAUAAAUUAAUCUGGGGGUCUAUAUUAGAUUAGGAUAAAUGACUCAAUUUCAGGGAAAAAGUGAAAAUAUAUAAUUUUAGGGAAAUAGUAGAAGUUAUUUAUUGGUUAGGCAUAUGGAAAUGCAAAAAAUUGUUUUUCUAAUGAUUCUAAUCAAUUUCAAGAAAAAUAAUGAAUUUAUAAGGGUAAGAUGAGUCUAUAAAAGUGAUAUAAUGAGUCUAUCAGAGUGUCGGUCAGUUAGACAAUUUAGAUUUUUUUAAUCAUUUUUGCCAAUUGGCUUGUUAUCGCCUUUUUUUAUUAUCAAAUUGGAUUAUUAUUCAUUAAAUUAGAUUAUUAUCAAAUUGGAUUAUUCAUUAAAUUAGAUUAUUAUCAAAUUGGAUUAUUAUUCAUCACCAUGUUUUAUAUUAGGAUUAUUUUUUUAUGAAAUUGGAUUAUUAUUCAUUAAAUUGGAUUAUUAUGAAAUUGGAUUAUUAUUCAUUAAAUUGGAUAACUACUCUUCACAAUACACUCACUCUACACAUAGAGAUGAUGAAGAUAGUGAAAAUUUUGAACCUCAUAGGAACUCUAUGUGGUACUAAGUCACUUAUGUAUCUUACCAUGCAAUGUAUAAAGUGUAAAAUAUUGUACUAAUUCAUUAUAUAUAAAUGAUUAUGGUGUGUUUAGACUUCUUUCAUUAAUUACUACAUAUUUUCUACACUCACAAUGUUUGUCAGCUCGCUAUAUAAUCAACUUGAUAAUAUUAAAUCCAUCAUGCAAUGCAUUUCUUUCCAAUUUUUUGUGAUAAACUAAUAGAUAAUUGACUAAAUAAACAUCCUACAAAGUUUCAAUAAAAAUUUCUAAGUUUUUCUUACAAUUUCCGUGGUUUCCAUGUAAUUUUUAUCGAUAUCGAUAUUUACCGAUAUUUCCAUUGAUAUUUCCGUAUUUUCGGACUACCGAUAUUUCCGAUAUUACCGAUAUUUUCUUCCUUGUUCAUUACAACCAUUUUCUAUAUACGUGUACAUACAAAACGUUUCAUGGAGUUACAAAUUUGUGACAAAUAAAAUGCACAUUAUUCAAUGUGUUAAGUUAUUGCAAAUCAAAGAAUUUAGACUUUUCAAAGAGGUUUUUUUUUUCUUUGUCACUUAAUACUACGUUCUAAUAGUAUUUCUUUUUAUUUAUAAGUGAGAGGUAUUAAGUUCGAUUCUCGGCAAAAGCAAACUUAAAUUACAUUAUUGUUAAUCCAUUGUGAGAUUAAGCCCACCCCUCCCGCUUAGUAUCGAUAAUAUUAUUUGUUAAAAAAAUCCUCUAAAAAAAAAAUCAGUUGGUGGCGAAGCCAUGAAUUUUUUAAUUUUUUUUAAGGUCAUAAAGACUUAUAAAGACAUUUUAAUCUCAACUAGCAACAUUGUGUGAUUCACCAACAUUAUAAAUCAAACUUAGGAUCAACCGUAUAAAAUACAGGUUUAGAAUUCAGCCUAAUCACGAGACCACUCCAUGAUGAUUUAAGAGUUCGAACUUUAAAGGAGAAUAAAUUGAUCUUGAUACAUUCUCUAGGAAAAAUGUGUCACGUAUUAACGUACAAUCCACAUGUACAAAAAAGUGCGUCGGUAAUGAAAUUAAUUUUGUGUAUCUAAAAAAACAUUAAUCUUUAAGUGAAAAAGUAUGAAACUCACUUUGGUUUAAAAAAAAAAAAAAAAAAAGAUUUACCAUUAGAACGCGUCGGGUUUCUUAUUGCUUUUUUAUUUCUUCCAACUUCCUGCAUAAUUGAGUUGAAGAGUUUUCUCUCCAACUUACGUUGUGCUAGGUUUUGCAAGGUUUCGUUGUUCCCGUGAUAGUUUUAUGUUAAGGAUUUUGGUGUAAUCAGACAAUGAACCAAUAAUACCAAGUAUCGUUUUACUUAUAAAAUUAAUUGUUAUUUUAAAAAAUUUAGUUGUUUGUACGGAUUUUGUAACUCUCGUUUUGCCUUUAUGGCCAUGUUGGUUUCUUUUUAAGCAUCGAAUUGAGUACUUUGAGUCUUGCUUGACCAUUUUAGAGGAGAAUUUGUUGGUGUGCCAAAAACACAGUUUAGUACACUAAAUGUAAUAAUACAAUUUGUUGAAAUUUUAUUUUUUUAAGUUUCAAACCAAUUUUAUUAUUAAACUUACUGUACAAGACCGUGUUAUCGAUACACUAAAAAACCUCUCGUACUAAAGGAUAUCCAAUGAAAUUUACCAACUUAGGUUGAAAAAUAAGUAUAAAUACUGGUAUUUUGCAAUCAAAGAAAACAUGAACGUAUUAGGUUCCACCUAAUCUGAACCCCACUCCCACCUACUGGAGGAGAUGGCAUCGCUCACUUUUUGCUGAUGAUAUGUUUAAUUAAUUCGUUGAACUACAAUUAUCACAACCUUGAUUUCAUAUGUAUGUACAAAGAGCUUUCAAAGUAGGUUAUAAGUAACUAAUACAAUGCAAAUUGAGAAAGAGUAAGGCUAUAAAAGUAGUCCGAAUAUUAAGCCUUUAUGUCGUUUGUCUCGCUUAAGCCUUUAAUUUAGGCUUGAUAAUUUCUUGCACAAUCUGUUAACACUAAAAUAAACGACAAGAAAAUAAUAGAUUUUAAGUCAACCAUUAACAAAUCAGAGUCAUUAUCAGGUUACCCAAUAAGAUAUUGUUUGCCAUAUAUCAGCAUUAUAAAUGAUAAUUUUUUGCAUGACCUGAUAAUGAGUUUGACAUGAUAUGACCCGUUAAGAUAAUGAGUAUAACACAAAAAUGAUACGAACACGACAAAUACAAUUCGUUUGUCAAGACUAUUUCAACCUAACCUGAAUCUUUAAGAUUUCACUUCAUUGUACUCGUUCUAUGUUUAACACAAAUUGAGAAUCUAGACAAGGAAACUAAUAUAGAGUACAUUUGGUUGAUGUAGUUAUAAAAUGACAGAGGCAUGUCGCACCAAUGGCAUUCAAAUGUGUAAACAAAUAUAUAUGUAGGCAUUAAUGUUUGAAUUUGAUGAUCCAUCCAUACCAUCCAUCUUCCACUAGUACUAUUUAUCAAAUUUGGUUUUAUAUUUAUGGUUGAAUUCAACGAAUAUGACAUCACACGUUAUUUUUAUUAACUUUUGGAUAGAUUUUUCAGUGUGUCGAGAAUGCGACUCGAUACACUAAAUAUCAUAAUACAAUUGGUUGAAAUAUUUUUUUUUCAAGUGUCCAACUAACUGUAUUACUACACUUAAUGUGUUAGGUGUACUAAAAAAUCUCUCUAGCUUUUGGAAUAUAAAAGAAAGACAUGUUAAAUGUUGUGGUGAAACAUGGUUUUUUAUUUGACCAAAUUGAAAGUGUCGACAAGAUUUUAAUGAGCAUAAUUUAUAAGAAACUUUAACGAAAAACUCUCAGUAUUGUUCAUUUUAAGGAAAAAUCAUAUUUUUAAACUAAAAAGUCAAUCCGGGUACUAUUCACUUUAUCCUUUAUUUUGUCAUUAUUGUUAAAACUCAAAGUUUUCAAUUUUUUUUAUUAAUUUUCCUUAUUUUAUACUCUAUCCUCUUUAGACGAAUUCGCAUUAAAAUUAAUAAGUAUCGUACUUCUCUUAAAACAUGAUAAAUGUUAAACUAGUUGGUCAACCUUACCCAAAGCUUUUAUAGUAAUUAACAACCACAACAAUUCCCCACUAAAAUAAAAAAUAAAAAAUAAAAACAAACAAAAACACAAUGCAGUUGGUUCAUAUGGGCUGGGCCUGAUUUCAUUGUACAUAGGCCGAGGCCUAUCUGAGACUGAAAAGGGCUUGGCCUCCAAAAAUAUGCCCUGCAACCAAAAAGAAACUUAAUUUGAAGACGUCGUUUCAUUUCCAAGACAUGACAUGACUACUUUGGUGAUGUCCUGAAAAGGUUGAAGCUGUGCAACUAGGAAAGUAUUUGUUGGUUGAUUAUCCAUCACGUCUUGUAUUUUUGGAUUAGUUACUUGGUUUUCAAGUUAUUAACAAAAUAUGACCAACUAUCUAAUUUUCUAUGACACAUUAAGUUACUAAACUUGGCAUGAUUAAAGCAAGGACAACCAUGAUGAAACCUUUGUAUCAUUGUGUUAAGGACAUGCCGAUCAAGAUGUAUAAUUUCCUAUAGACAGUUUCUAUAGAACGUAGGAGAAGUCAAUUGAUUCUUCUGAAUAACUAUGCCACAUCGAGGCGGAGAGGCGAGAAAUAAAUGGGAAGAAAGAAAUUGAAGUUAUCAAUACAUUUCGAAUUUAAAACUCCUCAAUUAUCUAAUUUUUAUAAUAGUUUAAACCCUUCAUUCUCUACUUAUCUAUUCUAUUAAGAGAAUAGGGCUAGUCAACUUUUAUCCCUUUUUUCCAAUUUUGCCCUCACUUUUGAAUACACAAUAUUGACACGAAGAGGGCAAAAUAGUAAUUUUGUAUAUUUUGACAAAAUGACAAUUAUAUACUUAUUUUUCCAAUUUUACCCUCACUUUUGAUACACAAUAUUUACAUAAGGAGGACAAAACAAUAAUUAUGUAAUAUUAAGAGAAAUUGUUUACACACAUAGUAUGUGCUAUCUGAUAGUAAGUGGUAAGGAAUUAGAAAGAGGAUAAUUCAAUCUUAACCCUAAAAUAUGUUAAAUGACCAAAGUACCCUUAGUUCGAUAUGAUCAAGAAGAAUGUGAUUGGGCGAAAGAGAGGAAAAGGGCACAGAAUUUCACAAACAAGGGCAGCCCAAGGAAUUCAAAACCAAACCAAAUCAAAUCGAAACCCGAACCAAAAACCCCUAUCUCUCUCUAUCUCUCCUCCUCGACCCAAUUUUUCUCUCUCUCUCUCUUUCUCUCUCCUCAAAUUGGACACAAGACUUCCUUCUCCUCCACCUGAAGUACCAGUCUUCCAGACCUACAAUUUUCCAAUUUCGCCCUUCGGUUUCAAAUCGUGAUUCCCCCAAAACGAAAAGCCUUGUCUUUUCUAUUCAGACAUGCCCGUCCCGAACCGAUAACGCAGAGGAAGGAACCCAGCCACACCCAAAACGCCGCCGUUUGCCCAAGAUGAUCGUGAGAACGUACGGCCGUCGCAAGGGAGGGGACAUUACCAGAACGUAUUCCGACACAGAGCUAAACGACGCCGUUCACGACGACGACGACGUCAGUAGCGACCCCUUCGGAUUUUCCCUAUCGCAGCCUCAAGAAAGCAGCGGUGACCCUUUCAAUUUCUCGUCUCAGGAGGACUCGUCUUCCGGGUGGGCCCACUUCGAUUCGGACCCUUACGUCACCAAGGACUCCUCCUUGAAGCGCUUUCCCCUGGACGGCGUCGUCUCGGGGAGGUCCAAGAAAGCUAAGACUCGGAAGGAGGCGGUGGGGAAGAACUCCUACAGGCCGCCGCCGACGCCGUCUAUUCUUGCGACGUCGACCUUGAUGGAGGCGCAGGAGUUUGGGGAGAUGAUGGAGCACGUGGACGAGGUCAAUUUCGCGCUGGAUGGACUCCGGAGGGGUCAGCCGGUUCGGAUCAGAAGGGCUAGCUUGCUGUCGUUGCUGUCUAUUUGCGGCACGGCGCAGCAGAGACGGCUUCUCAGGACUCAGGGGUAGGUUAGGCUGACUUUAACUACUUUUUUGAUGGGUUCCUGGAUGUAAAUAUCCGAUUUUUUGAAGUGGGGUUUUGUGAAAUGUCAAGAAUUUCUUGGUGGAUAAUUGGAAAUGUUAGUUUUAAGUCGUUCUUGGUGGAUAUUUGAUUUUUGGGUAUGUGGGGUUUUCGAAUUAUAAGUAGUUUUUGAUAGGUAUGUGAAUUUGGAGAGUGUGGGUGGGUGUAUUUUAAGUAAAUCUUGAUUGUAUGUUGAGUUUAAAUUGAGGUUUUGGAGAUGUGCUGUUAGAGAUUCGAAAUUUUCUUACGGGUAUGUGGAUGCCUUACUAUGUUGAAUGUAUCUGAGGUCAUAUGAUAGUGCUAUUGAAAAUUUGAUUUGAUCUCUAAUUUUUCAUUUCAAAAUUUGCUUACUCCUUCUUUCUACCAAAAUUGUUGUGUGGUUUUUUCUGGGUUAUAAAUUGAUCGGUAGUGCCUUCUUUUCAGGAUGGCAAAAACUAUAAUCGAGGCUAUAUUGGGUCUCAGCUUUGAUGAUUCACCCAGCAAUCUGGCUGCUGCAACUAUUUUCUAUGUUUUGACAAGUGAUGUAAGUCAUUUAGUAUUCGAAAAGUGAUCAUUCUAAUUUGAAGUUUUUAUUUUCAUAGGCACCUUUCAUGAAGUUUUCUUGUGUACUGCUCAUGUCUGCUGUGACUCUUCAAGAGUACAUACAAUUAAUUUUAUUUUAUUUUUUAUUUGACUAAUAAACCUAAGGGGAUUGUCAUCUUUCAAUAUUGCAGGGUCAGGAUGAUCAUCUCCUGGAAUCACCGAACUGUAUUAAUUUUUUGAUUAGGUUUUGCAAACCAAUUGUCUCAAACACCACAGAAGAUAAAGUACCAAAAGUUGGACGUAAGCUUCUAGCAUUGCGGAUUGGUGCUGACAUCUCGCAGUGUACGGCAAAAAGAUUGGACUCCAGCUCUGCCGCUAUUUUUUCCAAAGUUCAAGAAAUUCUUGUAGGUUGCAAGGAAUUGAAACCGAGUUGUGCGGAUGAAGGAGAAAUGGAAAAUCCGGAGUUAUGCCCAAAAUGGAUAGCUUUGCUGACUAUGGAGAAAGCUUGCUUAUCUACCAUCUCUCUUGAAGGUCUGAGUCUGUGUUGAAGCCUAUGGUUUUCUGGUUAUGAUACACAUUUUUAUGCAUUAUUUACUCAGGAUCUCAAGCUUUUGGUCUGUACUUUCAGAAACCACUGGUGCAGUAAGGAAGUCGGGGGGCAACUUUAAGGAAAAAUUACGAGAGCUUGGAGGUCUUGAUGCUGUAUUUGAGGUGACCAUGGGUUGCCAUUCCAAUAUGGAGGUGUGAACCUGUAUGUUUGUUUGAUCUCACUGUGCGUUUCAUUAAAUGUUAAAGAAUACCAAGGGACCUUAAUGCUUUAAAUAGUUAUGAGAGAAAUUUACUUCACUAUCCUACUUCAACAAUAAUUUCUUGGUUCACUAUGUAAAUAAUAAAUUUCUAUGAAAAAAUAAUGCAUGAGAUGGUAAAGAACCAAAAUGAUGGUGUGCAGCCUUAGUUGUAUCUAGAUUCACAAGUUUCUUCUGUUCUGUAACCUAUACAUUUCUUCAGUUUAUGAGCAACACUGUAUACAUUGGUAGUUUUAUAGUAACAAAUGGGCAGUUAUCUAUUUGCCUUUGGAUAGCGUUAUCUUCUUUCUUGUUCAUUGUAGUUCCUGAUUUUCUUCUUGGAGUAACAUGAGUGGUUUUGCAUGCUAACAAUAUCACUUCUCAGUCAUUGAUUUGUUUUCUUUCCUUUCCUUAUUAUGUGCACAUCAUACACAUUGAGUUACGAUAACCAAAAUUCCUUGGACAUAAUAUAACUUUUUCAUUUAUAUACUUACUUUUUUCAUUUUAAUCCUGGGGUCCAUGUGGUACUCAAUUGUUAUUGGGGAAAUUGCUUUACUAAGCACCAGUAAUUAAUAUGCAGGGUUGGCUAAAAGAUAGCUCGCAUACUAUUUGGGAAAAUGAAAACGACAUGGUGCGGAGCCUGGUUCUGCUUUUGAAAUGUUUGAAGAUCAUGGAAAAUGCCACAUUCCUAAGUAAAGAGAAUCAGGUAUUUAAAUGUGGUUUAGCCUCCCUCUCUAAUCCUUCCCUCCUCAGUCCGCUGGUCUGCUCUUUCUCUCUCUCUUACACUUUUCUUCUCCUUUUUAGUUUGUAAAACUCAGACUGCAUUAUGAUGUUUGAUUAUUGUUAACUAUUGAAAGGUGUAAUAAAUCUCCACAUCCAUGUUUUCUGAACAGAGCCAUUUGCUAGGAAUGAAAAGGAAGUUGGAUCCCAUGGCAAAUCCUUUGUCUUUUACAGAACUAGUUAUAAGUGCCAUCAAUAUUCUGUCAGGUAACUUAGUUUUUGGAGUAACUUUUGGUUCCUAAUCUUUUUGGCUUUCUGAUAAUUGAUCGCUUUGUUUUCUAGGUCUUUGUCUACAUAAAAGUUCCUCUUCUGCCUCCAAUGACAGAAAGUCUUAUUGUCUAUCUAAUGGGAGUGAACAUUUUUCUGAGAAGAGCUCCAAUAGAUGUCAGAGCAGUCAGUUAAUGUCAACACGUCGCUCAGUAUAUACUAUAUCCAGUUCGGAAACUACCAGCACCUCCAUGACUGAUACUUAUUCAUUGAACACAAGACUCAAUUCUUCUAGAAAUGGUUCUUCCAAUGGUGCAUCAAGACAUGUCAGCGGUGGAACCAGUAAUUUUAGCAAUCUUUCCCUGAAGAAUGCUGGUCUCAGUCAGCGAUCCUAUAACUUUGAAGACUCCAAAAUUGAUCUUUCAGAGGAGAGUCAAGAUCCUUUUGCAUUUAUUGAUGGUUCCAGGAUGGAUGCUGAUCUCAGUCAGAGAUCCUAUAUUUUUGAAGACACCAAAAUUGAUCUUUCACGGGAGCGUCAAGAUCCUUUUGCAUUUGAUGAAGAUGAUUAUAAACCUUCUAAGUGGGACAUGUUAUCUGGCAAGACAAAUAUGUCUCUAUCACAACAGAAUGCGGCAGCAUACAGAGAAAUUGAUGACAUUUGUCAGUUGCAGCAUAUUAUGAGCCAAGAAGCAUCAAGUAAUGGAGAAAACCAUCAGACACAAGAGACAUCCUGUUCAGGUGCUGUUAGCCGAGAAGGUUCCAGUCUUGUAGCUGACUGCCUUCUUACUGCUGUCAAGGUAAUCCUGAACCCCACUAUAUUAAACUUUUUCCAUAUUGCCUUAAACUUUUGUGGUUCUCCAUGUCAACAUCUAUGCAAUUGUGGGUGGGGCGGUGGUGUUACUGGUGUGCACAAUCUAGUUGUUUUUUGGUCCCUUGGUCAAGUGAAGGGUUUAUUUCUAGAUUCAUGUGACUGUUUACUGUUCUCAUCGUCUACUAUCAUCUCUCAACUAUGAUUUGCUCAACUAUGAUUUAUUCAGUUCUUUGAUACUCAUUAGCUGUUUGAUUAAUUUGGUUACUCAUUAAUAGAAUAGUGCCUUUUUGAUUAAUUGAUAUCCCAUUAUGCAUGCACUGUGUUAGAACACAUAAGAAACAGUUGAACUAUGUGAACUCAUAACAGUCUUCUUGGCAGGUUCUGAUGAACUUAGCAAAUGAUAAUCCUGUUGGGUGUCAGCAAAUUGCUGCAUAUGGAGGACUGGAAACCUUGUCUUCUUUGAUUGCCAACCACUUUCCUUGUUUCAACUCAUCAUCAUCUCCCUUCAGCGAGAGAAGUGAGAAUAUUUCCAGCAUUGAACUUGACCAUCCGAAUAAUAGACAUCUUACUGAUCAAGAGCUGGACUUUCUUGUAGCUAUUUUGGGUCUGCUUGUGAACUUGGUGGAGAAAGAUGGCCAAAACAGGUUACCUUGAUUUGUCAGUUUUUCUCCAUCUGUUUAUGCAUUUUCAUUUUAACAACCGACAUCAUAUUUGGGCUCUGUUUAUAGUUCAACCAAGAGAACAAAUUACCACAGUUGGUUCCAAUGAAGUGGUUACGUUGAGAGUGGAAAAAUUUCUUCCACAUUCUAUGUGGAGGUAAUGGCAGGGUUAUGUGGAUGACUGCUCCCAUUAGACAACUUGUGUCUCAAAAAGAUUUAGACAACAAAAGAUGCUAUAAUUAGAACCGUAGUGCUUGUGCUGCAGAUUAACUAGUCUUAGUUUCUAGUUUUUAAUAAAUCAUUCUUGCAUUAGAAUUUUCAUGCUCAUAAUUUAUCAAACUUGCUUUUCAUCCAGAUCACGGCUUGCAGCAGCUAGCGUUCAAGUAGCUAGUUCGGAAGGGUUUGGAGAGGAGAGUCGCAAGGAUCUAAUUCUGCUAAUUUGCUCUAUCUUUCUUGCGAACCAAGGUGCAGGCGAGGGAGGUGGAGAAGAAAUGGUUUUGCCAGUGAGUGACAUGUUCUCAUUGACUGGAAAAUGCGGUUUGUUGUUUAAGUUGUGAUGUCUUAAAAACACAAGGGCCUGCCUUCUGAUGUCUAGCCAAACAAAAACGAGAAAUUGAAAAUUUAUUUUCCAUAAAUUGGUCUUGUUCUGGUUAAUUGUUUUCAUCUUGUAUCUGAUCCUUGUCGAUGUCUUCUAACUUUGAUUUUGUUGUAUCGGUACAGACGGAUGAGGCAGCUGUCUUACAAGGAGAACAGGAAGCGGAGAAAAUGAUAAUAGAAGCUUAUUCUGCCCUGCUUCUAGCAUUUCUUUCAACCGAAAGGUUUGGCGUGUUUUCUCUCCUUCCUGUGUAUAAAGCAUUAUCGUCGUGCAUAUUCUCAUGCAAAAUUUGUUUGCCGUCCUCAGUAAGAGCAUACGCGAUGCAAUUUCUGACUGUCUUCCAGACCGCAACCUGGCUAUUCUAGUACCUGUGUUGGACAGAUUCGUGGUAUGCGUCUUAACUUCUAAACCGUGAUAUACUUCAGAGCUCGUUGUUAUCAACUGACGGAAAGUUAUAUUGCUCUCAUGUGAUUAUAUGUAUCUUUUAUUUCUUCCUCAGGCCUUUCAUUUGACGCUUAACAUGAUAUCGCCGGAGACUCAUAAAGCUGUGAGUGAAGUAAUCGAAUCAUGUAGGAUACGGUGAGAGCUUCGGAGAUGGACGAGAAUCCUGUACAGAUUUGGGUUUCCUUUUAGAAAAAAAAUUGUUGUUUACCCGACUCCGCGACUCUCGACGGGUCGGGAUUCAGCUGCUCGCCGUAUGCAACUGACUGCAGGCCUGGUUGCUCUGUAUUUUUUUAGGUUUCUUUUUUCCUUCCCUCCCCUCGCGCUAUUCUUUUGUAUCUUUGUUUUUUGUUUUCCCACCAUUUUUGAGCAGGUCAGAGACCAUACUUUGUAUACCAAGAAUUAUAGCUUAAUGGAAAUGUCUUGCUUUCCUUGUAAUUAACAUUUCUUCUUGUCCUUCUAUUAUUUUCUGUUUUUGUCGUAAUAUAAGAGUUAUGUUCGCUUAAGAGUUAUGUUCAAGAAAAUUGUGAUCAAUCAGCGUUCUACGUCACUUAGUAUACAUCAUUAUUUUUUUUUAUUCAAUAGAAAAAGAAUGAAAGAGUUUGCUAUUUUUUGUUUUAUCACCGGAAUAGCAGAUUUGUUCUACUGAAAAGAGAUUUUUCUUUAGAAAGAAACAUAUAAGAUAUUGAUUUUGAAUACCGUCACCUUACUAGAUAGAGCCGAUAACUAUGUGUGUAUAAUGAUAAAAAAAAAACUAAAACUAAAAAAACACUACUUUUUUUUUAAUAUAUAUAUAAAAAAAGUCGGUUUAAAUAGAUGGAGAAAAAGUAGGAGAGAGAUUUGAUUGUUUUAGUUGUUAUAAUUACCAUAUCAUCCUUCAUUUUUAUGUUUUAUUAUUUUAACUUACUAAGAUUAAAAAGGGCGAAAAGGAAAUUUCACCCUCUUUAGUAUUAGAUUAAUUCCCAAACGCUAAUGUCGUUUCCAUGAGGUUAGUAUGGGGUUACAAGAUCCCCGGUGCUUUUGCACAAGGGACAGCUAGCCCAUGACGUCACAUUGUCAUAGUGUGGUUUGGGUCUCCGAGUUGACUCAGCGAGUUUAUAUAUCUAUACAUACACGCAUCUUUUAGGGUUUAUAGCUUUCCUAUAAAAAGGCAGGAUUUCUCGAAUUCUGCAAGAGAAAAAUUAUGGAAUAUUUUGGAUGCGGUCUCUAAUCCUUAACAUUCUUUGAUUAAAAUCUUAAUAGUAUUCAAAGUUUGAUCAAGGUCCUUUGACUUUGUACUCCUCAUUAUAUUACUAUUAAUAUUUAUAGUUUUGACAUUAAUUGUUUGAUAUUUUAUGAGAUUUAUAAUCCUAUAAAUUUAAAAUCCAUCAUUAUAAUACUAUUAGAAACGGUUACAAUAAAAAAAUUCAAACAUUUUAACAUUUUGAUUGAAUAAAUGGAUAAAAACUAUGCAAAAAUAAGAAAUAAUAAAUGGCAAAAGAAUGUAUCCAUAGUGUUAAAAAAAAUUGGUACAUUUUACAAAACAAUCGGUACAUUUCACAUAUAACAAAGUGGUACAUUAAUAAAUAAAAUUGGGUACAUUAGAAAUAAAUUAGGGUAUAGAUAAAAUAUUAAAAAUUAUGAAUACAAAUGAAUUUUUAAAAAUAUAGGCGCUAAAAGAAAUUAAUACAUGGGUACAAAAUAAAACUAAAAAGAAAAUACUAUAAAUUAAAAAAAUGUUGCAAAUUAAAAGUGGGUACAAACUAAAAAUAUAAAUAUAUGAUACAAAGUUUAGGCAUAAAACAUAAUUAUAUCAUAUGUAAUUUUUCUAUCAUUGAUUAAAUAUACAAUGUCACGUGAGGGUAUAUACAUGGGUACAAACACAAAUAAAACUUUAAAAAAUAUGGGCACAAAAAGAAACUAAUAUAUGAGUACAAAUUAAAAAAAAUAUUUGCAAAUUAAAAAUAGGUACAAACUAAAAAUAAAAAUAUAUGAUAAAAAAUUUAGCCAUAAAUAUAAAUAUACUAAUUGUAACAUUUUUAACAUUAAAGGAAUAUAUUUAAAAAUAAAAAUAUUUUAUUAUUCAAAUAAUUAAUGAUGUUAUUAAUACCCAAGGACCUUGAUCAAAAAUUGAAAAUGAAUAGGAUUUUAAUCAAUGGAGUAACAAAAACAAGGAUGCGAACCUAAUUUACCCGAAAAAUUAUCUUCACAGUUCGACGAAUUGGAGCUCCAAAAAUUGAUAUUGAUUGGUAGGUCAAAAUACAAAACCUUAAAUUCAGAUCUUUUCUAAUUCUAUUUUUUUCAUCAAUUUAAGUCAUAUUUAAUCAUUUGUUUACUGAAUACCUAAAUAAAUAUGAUAUGAAGGCUGUAUUUCAUUAACUGCCUUUCUUCCCUUACAAUGUACCAUUUAUGCUAAUGUACAACUCUAACUGUCAUCACAAGAUGAAGCCGUGGGGUAAAAUAUCUUUCAAGGACUCUUCCAACGUCAAGCCCUUUUUGCGAGGGAUAGAACGGGGAUAUGAAAUAUUCCACUCAACUUCGGCUAAAAUAUCUUUCAAGGCCUCUUUGUAAGGGAUAGAACGGGAAUCUGUAACUUGCCAAAAAUCCCUGUCGGCAAUCAUAGCUUUGUCGCAUAGUAAACGUACCCCUAUUUUCUUCACCUCAGUAGAUUUACGAAUUGCAAUAACAUGGACCAAAUCGCCUUCUUCCAAAUUGAACUCAGUUUCCGGAAACGGAAAAUUUCCCAGCCAAAUGUUAUCUCUGUUCUCAACAUCCAACAUAACGUUAACAAAACUAGUACGCUUGGUGUGAUUAAUAACAUAAAUAUAGAACUGAAAAGAAGAACCACGAGGCCUGUCUUUAUCAAAAGGACAAGAAGCCAGGCACACAGCCAACGCUUUUGCAUUACAACCAAUUUCCUUAGGCACUUCAAAACGGACUUGGGUACUCUCGUUGACAUGAUUGAACCAAGUGGGAAUUUGUCUUCCUACAGGCUUCAUCAUUGCACAUUCUGUCCAUCCCUAUACCAUUUUGAACAAGUUUUUGUGAGUAAUGCAUACAUAACACACAUUUGCGAGGGAGGAGAGGGGGGUGGUGUGGAAGAGAGAGAGUACCUGU
rnacentral:lncRNA from 1 species